rnacentral:lncRNA from 1 species
AUCGAAGCCCGACGAUGACAGAGUCGAUCUCUCCUACUAGGGCGAUAGAUCUGACGGCAAAAGCCCGAUCGUCCCUAGAAGAAGCUCAACAAAGUCAUUUCUGCAAACGAAGAUCGAAGCCCGACGAUGACAGAGUCGAUCUCUCCUACUAGGGCGAUAGAUCUGACGGCAAAAGCCCGAUCGUCCCUAGAAGAAGCUCAACAAAGUCAUUUCUGCAAACGAAGAUCGAAGCCGACGAUGACAGAGUCGAUCUCUCCUACUAGGGCGAUAGAUCUGACGACAAAAGCCGAUCGUCCCUAGAAGAAGCUCAAAAGUCAUUCCUGCAAAAAAAAAAAAAAAAAAACAAAAAAAACAAAACAACACAAAAAAAACAAAACAAAACAAAACAGAAUUAAAAAAAGCAAAACAAAAAAAAAACACACACACAAAAAAAGAGAAAAAAGAGAAAGGGAGAAGAAAAGUUUUCUAUACCUUUCUGCUGAUUGGAUGAGGUAUAAGUGAGUAGGGUGUGAGUCUAUUUAUAAGUCCAACAAAUCCAAUUUUUAAAAGGAUUAGGAAUGAUAUUUAAUUAUUUUUUUUAAAAAAAAAACAAAUCCAAUUCCUAAAAGGAAUAGGAUUGAUUUUAAAUAUAUAUAUAUAUAUAUAAAGAAAAGAUAAUCCAAUUAUCUUAUUUUAUUUUAAAUUAUUUCUUUUUUUUUUGUUGGAUAAAUCUCAAGUUUAACUUUUAUUGAGAUAUUUAAAAUAUUUAAAAAUUUCAACAUUUAAAAAUAUAUAUAUAUAGAUAAAUAUUCUCAAUUUCAAAAUUCAAGUUAAAUUAACUUGCAUAUAUGACCUCAUUUUUAUCAUGAAUUUAAAUCGGAGCAUAAAUCCAACUUUACCUAAGAUUGAGGACCUGAUUUUUUAUCUCAAAUUAAAAUUGGUCAUUCCAAAUUCUUAUGCAUCCCCAAGAUAAAUUAAGGUACGGUAGAAACUUUAUCCUUAUUUCAAAAUUAAAAUUUUGGUUAUAUUCCAAAUUUUACUUAAAAAAAAUCAUCAUAUUAAAAAUUUUUUUUAUCCUCAAAUAAAAUUAAGUUAGGAAUAAAACUUUGAAUUUUUUUAAGGUUUGGCCAUAUUCCAACCCUUAUUUUAAAUUGAAAUCAAACUCACGUACUAAAUUCAAGUUUGAUUAAUUUGAUAUAUUGAAUUGAGUAAAAAAAAAAAAAAAAAAGAAGCUCGUACUUUGACUUCAAAUUUAUCUUUUCGAGAUUCAUUCACCCAUAUACGUGCAUAAAUCUCGAAAAGGGGGCAUUUGUUGAAUAAGAAAUUUUGAGACUAAUCACUAGUUGCCAUAUCAUUUAUUAAGUUAAUGAUGAAAAGUACAAAUAAUUAAAUUUGGGACUAAUUAAAAUUGACAUAUGCUCCAAAUUAAAGAGUUGAAAAUAAAUAAAAUGGUCAUUCUAAUAAUGCCACAUGUUUUCAUAUUAAUAGUUGGAUUAAGUUAAUCAUUUUAGUUCAAUUAAAUAUUAUUUACUUGGACUAAGUUCAAUUAAGCCCAAAAAAUAAGCUUAAUUGAACCCAAAGACUAAAUAUAACCUAAGUCCAUAUGGUUGAGCCCAUGGGUCUGGUCCAUGGACCAACCAGGUUCAAACCCAUAAAGCCCACCAGUGAAAUCUAUAAAUAGAGGAAUUCUCCUCAUUUGUAGGGGUUGGAAAUUUUGACUCUAGAAGAUCCAGAGAGAAUUCUUCAAAGAGCUAGAAGACUCCCUAACUCCUGAAGUCGACCAUCCUCGAAGAUUGAAGCUUCUUUAAAGAUACAAGCUUUCUUCAAGGCUUCAACUUCAAGAACAUCACGUGCUUCGCUUCCUCAAAUCAAGCUGAAGCAUCCAGUUGAGAGAGAAUCAGAGGAUCAAAUUCUAGAGAUUGAACCGCAUCGCAUCAAAUCAACAAAAUACAACAUCAAACUCAAGUUCAAGUCCACGAAUUAAAUUCUCCGAAAAUCUCGUGCGAACACAUAUAUUUCUAAAUAAAUUUAUUCGACGAAAGUGGCUAGAUUGGUGGGUUCGACGGCGAAGGCUUGUUGUGGCAGCAACGACAACAGUGGUUGGAGUGUGGAAUCGACGACGACAAGUGGCAAAAAAUUGGAAGGCAAGGGUUCUUCAUAACGACUCGGUAGCCCACUUCGUUCGACGAGAUUUUUUUGCAUUUUUGGUAGAGUGAGAAAAAAUUGCAUUAAGACUUCAUUCGACGACAUCGUUUUUGCUUAAGAGAAAAUUUGAUGUUUUUACUUAGUUGUAAUUGCGUGAGAGAGGGAAAUUAAAAAAUUUUGAAAUUUGAGGUUUUUUCAUUUGAAAUUUUUUUUAAUGACAAAAAAAUUGUCGUUAAUUAAUGACCCAAAAAUUGUGUGAAAUAAAUUAAAUUGUGUCAAUAGAAUUGUUUUAAGAAAUAAUCCAUAUUUUUAUUUUCAACAACACAUGUACCUCAUCCACCUCUUUUUUCUUUUAUUUUCAACGACACAAUGUCUUGAUUAAAAUCCAUUUUUCUAGUGACAAAUGUAUCCAUACCAAAGUGGGAAGCAGCUAAGGGGACGAAGGUAUAUUCGGAGAGAGAUUGUUAAACAAUUGUAAAAAGUAAGCCCAAGAAGAGAGGUCCAAUAAAAUUCAGCCACCUCUCACAUAGUAAUUGAAAUAGUCUAGCAAUUUCAACCAUUUCCCUCACAGAGAAGAAGAAGACCAUAGCCACUCGAGGCUUUUGCACAUACAAACACCAAGAAGAUGGUGUCCGGUUCCGUACCUGUGCUAAGCGCGUCGUUGUUGACAUAAAGUUUCUAUAUACAAAGCUAUGUAUCUCUACCCUUGACUUCUCUUUCUCUCUUUCUACCUUUUUUAUCCUUUCUUUCUCCCAUUCACUCAAUACACUUGCAAGAACCUUCAUUUUUUUUGUAUUUAAAUUUUCUUGGCACCAUCCUUUUUUAAUUAUCAAGGCUUUGUUAUUGUGUACCUGUAUUGUGUCGUGCCUCCUUCACUUCUCAUCAUCAUUUUCAUGUCACAUCUCUACCUUGUCAAUUUUCGUUUUUCACUCAGCUUUCUUUCUUCAUUUGUCUUCACUACUCUCUUCGCUCCUUCUUCUCAAGCUCUAACUUUUGCUAUUAUUAACCAGUCUCAAAUGACCAUUGGAAAACCUAUAGCCCACUGAGAGGCAGCCAAUAUAGUAAUGCCUCUAAUGAUAAACUCCAAUGAAAUCAAAAGUUCUUCUUUGAGAUUUGGAAAAAUAUAUUAGAUAAAGCAUAAUUAGUUGAAAAAGAACCUUAAAAUUUUGUGUUAAACGACUACAAUUUCAUCGUAGAAUAUGCCAUAUUGACAGCAUAUUUUUCCUACAAAAACAUAUUAACUAAAAUAAGCUCAUAAACACGAAAAUGCACUAAGUGUUGGUUAACAUACACUACCUUGAAAUAUGAUGAAGACUUUAUUUCUCCCAACCAGACAGCAUAAUCAGGAGGUAGUUUGGGAGCAAACAGAAUUGACUUAAUUUCCACUAGCAAUAUCCUAUAAAAAUUUCAAAUUCUUGAAAUAUGGAAACCAAUGGAAGUUUUAGGGAAUGAAGUAUAACCUCUAAAUACAGAAGGACGACAUAAAGGGGAAUGAAGACUCGAAAGAAGGACGACGUUUUCGUAGAGAAGGACGACAAUUUUGAGGGACAACGGACACGAUUUCAGAGUAUUAGGGAUGGUAGAUGGCGAAAGUCUUAGGGAUCUCGUACUCAGUGGAUGGUGAACGACUGAAAGCGAAGGACCUAGUACGCAUUUUUGGAGAGGGCGUGUGAACGCGGAUGGACGGACGGUGAACACGGCAGAAGUGAGAGAUCCUCAUAGAGAACUUGGCAUUUUCGAAUGCGGUAGAGACAAGUCUAGGGCUUCGAAGGAUUCAACCCAAUAUUUUCUUUAUAUAUAUAUAUAUAUAUAUAAUAUAUAUUUAAUAACACUUGACGUUUUUAAAACGUAAAGAAAAACGAUUUUACUUGACGUCUAAAAAACAUCAAGAAAUUUAAAAAAUAACUCUUCUCCGGCUUUUUAUAAAAAUUCUUGACGUUUUAAAACAUAAAGAAUUUUUAAGAUAUUUCUUGACGUUUUUAAAAUGUCAAGUAAAAGUACAUAUUACUUGACGUUUGAAAAUUUUGAAGAAUGUUGAAUAUAUAAACAUUCUUGACGUUUUUAAAACGUCAAGAAAAAAUACAUAUUAGUUGAUGUUUAAUAAACGUCAAGAAAUCUGAAAAUUGACCUACCCUCGCCUUUUCUAAAAAUUCUUGACGUUUUAUCUUUGGAACUACCCCUUUCUUGACGUUUUUUGAAAAAAAAUGUCAAGAAAGAAAAACAACAAACGUCAAGAAAGGCCUUUUUUGUAGUAAUGACAUACAAUAUAUAUAUAUACAUAAAUAAAUAAAUAAAUAUAUAUAUAUAUAUAAUGAAUUAAAAUGGUUUUGUUGCUUUACUGUUUUACUCUAUAAAGGAAGAGCAUUAUAAAUAUAUUAUUGAGGAAACAUCUUUCGAAAUGACUGGUUUUGGAAGUGUCAUUAGAUUUUUAGUUAGUUAAGCACAUUUUCCUCCCAAAUAGUAGUCGAAAUACAACUGUUUUUUAAGAAGAAGAAACCGAAUCCUUCAAACUAGGAUAAAAGUCAUUAUCUAUUAACAUAGAGUUAAAGUUACAAGGUUGAAGGCUAGAGGGAAGCCUGAAACAACCUAAUCUAACAAAGCUUAAAGUUAAGAGUUGGUAGUAACAUCAUAUUAGUUACAAGAUGAAUGACGCCUAGACCAAACUUCGAUCAAGUUACAUGUGUCUUCCCACAAGUUAACAAUAAACCUUGAUUUAUCCUUAAAAAUUCUAUUGUUUCUUUCUAUCCAAACAAUCCAAAGUAAGCCAGUUAUGGAGGAGGAAUACACAUUAGAGAGCUCAAUUAUGGAUGGAGGAAUACACAACUUUUUCUCGUGGUCAUUUUCCUCGUGGGCAUUCUCUUCAUGUUUCUUCUUAUUCCGACUAAAAUACAAGCACAAAUUAUUCUUCGCCUUCGUAUAGGUUUGUUUGAAGAAGAUUAAAAAAGUCCUUAAUUUAUCUCGACACUUCCAAAACCAGAAUAUAAUACCCGUGCUACAUAAAUCCCUCUUUCCAAAUAGUCGAACAUGAACUAUCCAUGCAUAUCUUGGAAUAAACAAGAGAAACCCUAACUAAACGCAAAUAGAAAAUACGUUGCAAUCUAAAAUAUAGUUAAAGAAACAAAAAGAAGUUUUAAUGUUGUGGGUUUUUUACUGAUCUUCUUCAACAACAAAAUAACUCAACGCCACAGUUCAAUUUUUCCUUCCACGAAUUGGGUUUUUAAAGAGUUUUCACCGCGAAUAAAUUUUUUUUGGUUCGACAAGUAACAACAUGUGAAUCCCCAAAUGCAAGGUUUUAUUAAAAAUUAAAAAUAUAAUUUUUUAAAAAAAUUAUAAUACCUAAAAAUAUAUUUUUUUUAUAUUUAUAACCUAAUUUUCUGUCAUUGCAUACUUGAGAGAAAUAUAUUUUUCAAUUAGCAUAAUAACCUUUAUAUAGUAAAUUAAAUUUGUAGAAUGAGAAAAGACCUUAGAUCCAAAAAAGUUAUUUAUUUAUUAUUGGAGUGAAUUGUAUAAUUAAUGUAGUUAAUGGAUGGUUUUGUAACCAUAAAAAAAUAAUGAAAAUAAUUUUCUAAAAGAAUGAAUGAAAAUUUGGAAAGUUAAAAGGUUUUAGGAAUUAAAAAAAAGGGUGUAACAUUAUAAAAGACUACCAAAUAUACUGUAAGAGACAUGCAUUAAAGGAGCUGAGUGUCACGUGUGAAAUUUUGACCCCAAAAAUCACCCCCAAAAUUGCGCUAAUUCAUGCCACGACUCCUUCAGCAAGGCCCAGGAGCAGCCCAACGUGGUCCUAAGACAGCCUAAGGGCGACCACGACAUGUGCCUACGGCAUUGGCAUGCACCUCUCGAGGACAGCUCACAAGCCCCGCACGCGUGCCACGACGAGUGCCCAUGACAGCCGAGUGUCAGCCCACGACACAGCCCCAUAGCACGCCAGAUGCCCGUUGACACGGCCAUAGGCGCCCGGCACCAGCGCCCACCAUCGACCCAGCGCGCGCCGUGUCCGCCCAACGUCCAGACGGCCCCAGAACCUCCGAGAAGCUUCCAGAAGAAUCGGGAAGGCGCGCAACACUUCGCGUGGCGCGCACGGCGCGAACCCAACGCGCGCGCCGACGCCCCCAGAUGCUUCCAGAAGGCUCCACACAUGCCCAUGUGUGUGCUGCCCGCCCAUGCUCAGUCUAGACAACCCCAGAAGCCUCUAGAACGUUCGAGACAGUGCCAGAAUGUGCUGGAAUGCGCGGAGGCUCCCGAGAAGGCCCCGGAACGUGCUGGAUGAUGCUGGAACGUGCUGGAACACUCUAGAAGGCUAUAUGACGGUCAGCGAGUGUCAUGAAAGGUCUAGUCCUCUCUAGAAUGUUCUAGGCUUCCUUGUUAUGUACCAAAUGAACUUGUAAUCUCUAGAAUCUCCCUUGGCCGACCUUCUAAGGCCCAAGGUCGGUGGGGAUGGUCUAUAAAUACUUGGGAGGGCCUCAUUUGUAUCAAGCCUUGCAACCUUGCAUCUUGGCAUGUCUUAGCCAAGCAAGGUCACCUUGCCACCCAAAGUCUCCUUGCCCAUGGUAUCCCCAUGACAAGAAGACAGCAUAUUUGUACCCAAAUAUGUAUUCAUCUAUUGUUGGAAUGCAAUGUAUCAUUCCAAAGACGUAUCCAUCCAAACUCCCUCAUCCUUCCAACCUCUCUCAUGUCUUGCAACCAACCUUAGUACUUCCGCUGCAACCGUUGUCGUAGUGCUUGGCACACUACCCCUUCCGGGAAAGGCUUACUUGGCUACGUGGGCAUUGUAGUUAGCCAAGUGCCGCAUGUAUGGUUAGCUUCAAGAUCCUAACCACGUGACAUGAGGCAUGCAUACUACCAAAUAUACUAUAAAUAAACCAUAAUUCUUUUUUAAGAAAUUAAACAACUAAUUAAAUAUAAAGAAGAAAGAUUAGAAAAUGAAUGAUCAAACAAACUAUGACUCAUUUAUUUUUGACAGGUUCGGCCAGUAUCACCUGACAAUUCAUUUUCACCAAGAGAAUAAACAUGAGUAGCCUUGGAAUCAAGUUCCUCCGAUAAAAGCCACGGAGUUGAUGGGUUAGAGACAGAACCAGAAUUUGAGUUCAACGAUGUGGAUGGAAAAUUCUGAAACUAGGAGCAACAGGAAGUUAAGACAACGAAUUAUUUUCAAUAUAGAAAGGCUAAUUGUAAGAAGUUGUUAAUGAAGUGUCCAAAUGCAUUAUGGUAAUAUUGGGUGCAGAAUGUUUGGAAGUUUUAUCCGUGUGCUGUGAAGCACCACAGAGUUGAAGCAUAUGAAACCAGUGUUUAUCUGACAAAAAAUAGUGUCAUGAUCAUUGCCUUUCCAUUCCAUAAAUUUAUGGAUAGCAGAAGAAAGAGAACUCUCAACACUUGAAUCACCAUAUAGCACUCUACAUCCAGGUGGUGCCUUGAUUUUUGAAGAUUUAGUUAAAAGCAGUGAUAAAAUUGGUACAUAAAUUACAGUGCAUUUCUCGAUAUGCAACAACAUUAAGAGCAACUUAAAGACAACAUCAUCAAGAAAUCUAGUAUUUAAAAUGUACAAAGAGCAGUAGUAAACAUAUGUAUUUUAUGGCUGACUUUAUCCAUAAUAAAUGUUGGAUUAAAUCAUCAAAAUAAAACACAAACAGAUAAUUAUCGAGUUUUUCAAUGGAGGAUAGAGAGGAAGACAUGCAUGCACAACUACUAGAUCUAUAUGGUGCCAGACUGCCAGUAAAAAUUUAAAGACACACAUGACAACAUUAUUUUGGAUGAAGUUCUAAUAUUGCAACCAUGGAGGAAAAAUCAGCAAAUCUUAAAUAGAUGUAGUAGUCCAAAUGAUAAAAGUUUGUCUCAAGAUAAUAUUUCAGUAACUGCAGAUGCAUUGUGUUGAACCUAACCUCUUGUGUUUCACGGUAAUGAACAAGGACAAUGUGUUCAAAGGUCCUGAACAAAAAGCAGAAGCAAGUCAUAAAUUAUAUAAGUAGAACACGAUAUACUGCCACUUCUAAUUUCAUUUUUCUUUGCUUGUGGCAUGAUGGGGAUAGACCCCACUGAAACAACUGGUAGCAAGCAAUUUAACAAUUUUCUUUCAACCAUAACAUACUUAUCUAGGAGCCAAUAACACCGGCGAACAAAGGUUGGGCUAUCUAGUCCAUGGGCAUAGUAUACAUGUAUCCUUUCUACAUUACCAACCUGCCGAAGAGAAAGAAAAGAUUAUCAAAGCACACCUUUUCUUGGUUAUUAAGGCUGUAAAAGAAUGAAAAUUACCAUAAAUCUAAACACAGUUAAUAUUAGACCAUUGAACAACCUAUAGAUUCAAAAGGAAAGACUCAAACCACCAAUAGACUGGUUAAUCAUUUAAAAUGAUCUCCAACAACAUGAUACGCAGUAUAUCGUGCUAGAUCCAUAAUUACCACAUGUGGACUCCUAUGGUAAUUUCAUUGAUGAUACGCAGCUAGUAGGCAAGAUUAUGAAAUGAAGACGGUAUGUGAGAAGAUUGAAAAGAUCAACAUGAUAAAAUUAUAGGGAUUUGAAUUUAUAUCUUAAGAACACCAGAGUCAAAUGCUUAAGCUGAUUAACUGUGUUAAAUUUAACUCUAUAAUAUAUUUUAAAUCUGAACAGUCAUUAAACAACUACAUUUUGAAUAAGCUUUAGAGAAUAUUAGCAAAAACAGUAGAAAUUACUUCAAAUUUGUAGAGAGAACAUAUAAAUUAUAUUCUACAGAAACACGAGCCCAUAGCAUGUCUACUGAGUAGCAAUGACAGUGAAAAAGGGAAUAGUAAGUAACUAAUCUCAUAAACCCCUUUCUCACAUCUAACCAAGUUCUUUCAUGACAUGCAAAAGCAUCAAAAUAUUUAAGAAAACUUCCAAUAUUGCAUUUGGAACUCAUUGAUUGACUUCAACGUUUAAGAGUCAUAAAAGACACAACUUACUUUCUCACCUGUCACCACUAAGCCUACGGCAACAUCUUUUUAUAAGAUAUUCAGCUAAUCUUUAGAUUGUUUACCGAAUAAUCGUCUAUUGUUUUGUAAUUGAUCCCACCAAGCGCUUGCGCCACCUUGAAGUUUGAGAGCAACUAAUCGAACCUUCUUGUGUUCGUGGUGUAUUGGCAUAGUCGAAAAAAUUUCUACGUUCUUGAUCCAAUCAAGAAACUUCUCCACGUCCAUUCGACCAUUGAAGGUAGGGAGAUCCACUUUCAUACGUAUUUCUUGAUCUUCUUGAAAGUAUGGUCGAAGUCCAAGCCUUUGUUGAGGUUCUUGAUGAAUGUUCAGCAAGUUGUCUUCAUCGGAAGAGUCAGAAUCAUUUAAGAAAUUUCAGGUACGUUGUUUCCAUACAAUCGAUUAUUGUGGAUGUGAAUAGGUUGAUUUCUUAGUAGUUCUUAGUUUACAACAGGGUUUAUUGGUCUUUCUUGUCUUUCUUGGUUUGCUGCAAUUGGGUUUCUUGGGGCUGAAUUGCUUCUUCUAAAGGUUGGACAUGAAAUCGGGUAAAAAGGUUUGUUAAUUCUACUAACGAUUGCUGUAUAUCUGACUGCCCUUUUCGAAGUUCUUCAAUAGCUUGUUCUACCAACUGCAAGCGUUGGUUGAAGGAGGCUUCCGCGUCCAUGGAUAAGAGUGGUAGGAUCCAAGUUUUUUUAGGGAAGAGUGAGCUAGGAUCACGCUCUGAUACCAAUUGAUUCAGUAAUUGCAAAGCUAGAAAUCUUUAUGUAUAAUGCCUCUUUUUUUUUAUGUCUUAUUAAUGAAAAUGAGAAGCUUUUUUAUAGGCUGGAGAUUAUAAGAGUUGUUAAACUAACUUGGGGUUGAGUUAGUUAACUUGGAGUUGAGUUAGUUAUAACUAACUCAAGAUACAAAAUUGGUAAUUCAAAUAACUAAUCCUAAACUAUAAAAAUGGUAAUUCAAACCCCUCCUCUAGGAUAAAACUCAAGAAACAUCAAGAAGGGAGAUGUUCUACAUCAAAGUGUAGAGAACGAUUCAAAAUCCUUGGUGAAAGAAAUGAAUGUUAACUAAUGUGUGUUUAUGUGAAAUUGUUCAAUGAGUAUGUUAAGGAUAAAGAAAGGUUUAUGCGAGAUAAAAUUAUUUGAUGUUGUUUAUGCGAAAUGAUGUUUAUGAAAAGGUAUUGCGAAAAGGAUUUCAUAAAACCUUAGUCUUUUAGACAUUCUUUCAAAAAUUCAUCUUCCAAGAUGAGGUGUUUAGGCCAAGUAGAGAAGAAGGUUGAAGGAUUUGCAGCGAGAUGACCAGACGUUUUGAAAAUAGUUAAGCAUUGGUUGUUUGGUCAAAGUGUUGUAAUUAUGUAUCAAACACAUGUUAUUAAUAAACAUCUUGGUAGGUAUUUAUUAUACUUGCACGCCUACUCUCACAUUUAGCCAUAUGUUGUACUUUGUUUUCCACCUUGACUUUUAAUGACACACAAACCAACUUUCCAAGGAAUUCCCUUUCAUUUUCCUAUUAACUCAUAUUCUCUUUUUUUAUCAAGUCCUUGAUAGAGAAAGUGGACUUUGAGUUGUUGGACUUUAGUAUUGCAUGGACAUACAAUUUUGAAUGAAAAAUCCUUAUAAAUGGGGCCUUUUAACUCAUUUGAUGGGUUGGCUAUUGAAUUUGGGCUUUCAUACCAAAUGGAAUUUUUUUUCUUAUUUACUUAAAGAAAAAAAAAAAAAAUUUACCACGCCCAUUUUUUUUCAUCUAUUUCUUUCGUCCGGUUCUUUCAUCCAACGAGUCCCACAACUCGAUUAUGAGUCUAGAAGUACUAAGUCAAACUUAGUGGUUGUUCGAAUAAAACGCAACUUCAAAUGUAAGUAUUCUAAAAACCUUAUUUUUUGGUUUAGUCUCGUUAAUUAAGCCCAAUUAGGGUAGAAUUUCGAUUCUUUUUCUGUUGUGCAUGUCUUAGUUCUAUCAGUAACUCCCUUCAGGGUGAUAACUCUCAUCAGCAGACUUUCCAUUACUGGUUUCUUCCUUAGUCAUCAUUAUAUUGUUGUUUUCCACAAUAGAUAGGGUGAGUUGCAGUUUUACAUGAAAUGCUCUGCUCACCCACACUCUUUUCUCACUAGUUCCUUAUUCUCAAUCUUCAACGCAAAUUUCAUCAUCUGGGCCAACCCAAUCGGUUCCACAGUUUCCACUUCCAUUUUUAUUCAUGGGCUAAGCCCAAUCAUCAAAGUCUCCUCUAACACUACCGUUUGAAGAAAUGCUACUAGAGCUAAAUAUCGAUCAAAUCGGUUGCGGUAUUCUUCUAAUCAUUUUCUGUUUGAUUGAGAAAAAUCUUCCAACCAAAGUUCCUUCUCGAAUUGAUCGAAACUGUACAAGCAUUCGUUCUUUCAGGUCAGCCCAAUUCUUAAAAACUUCCAACUCUUCUUGUGCUUGGUACCAAUCCAAUGCCAGAUCAUCAAAACUAAUAACGCUGUGGUUAAUUUCUCUGAAUCAGUAAGAUCAUGUAUCUUAAAGAAGCGAUAGGCUCUAAAUUGAGACCCAUUUCUAAUUUGAGUAAUGAAGUAAAUUUGGCUAGGUAUUAAGAAUUUGGCGUUUGAAUAAAUCCACGAAAAGGAUUAAGCGAUAAAAAAAUUUAUGGUUAAGUAUACGUUAUUGCGAUUCAGUGGGUAGUUCGCGAAGGAAGUUGUGCGACCCAUUUCUAAUUCGAGUAAGGAAGUAAAAUUCGGCUAAGAAUUAAGAAGUUGGUGUUCAAAUAAAUCCAUGGAAAGAUUAAGUGAUAAGAUCUUUUACGGUUAAGUAUACUUUUUUGCGAUAAGUGGUAGUUCGCGAAAGAAGUUGUGCGAUAAGAAGCGAAAAAGUCUUUGCGUAAGUUAGAAAUGAAAGUUUUGAGUGUUAGACUAGGAGUUUUGGGUGGUCUUCGCGAGAAGAACCAAGUGUUUCGUGGAGAAGAAGUCUACGAGGAAGCCUUGGAGUUUAAGUUCGUGAUAAGAGUUUUAUGCGAGUAAAAGUUGGUUAGUUCAUGUGGAACGUUUCUUAUAAUAAAAAUAUAAUCAAGCGAUAAGGUUAUUCACGAGAAAUGUUAAGUGGUUGAAUUUAUUCACGGUUUGGGUUAGGCGGGAGCAAGGUUUGUAAAGAAAAUGUCAAAUCUGAUUUGACAUGGGUUAACAUGUAAGAUUAAGGAUUUGAGCAUGACUAGGUUAAAUAUUAAGGAUUUGCAUGACUAAGUUAGUAUAAGGGAUCUAUAAAAUAGGAGAAUUUAGGUAACUAAGGAGGGGAUGACGAGAGUUUUGUUGAAAUGCUAAAGUGUUGUUGGUUUAGCCACGAAAAGAUGGUUGUGAGAAGGACUUCUUUAGUAAAUUUUGGUGAGUGCUUUUCAGUCAAAAGAAUUUAUGUUAAGAAACUUUAUUACGAUUUCUCUUUACUGAUUGAAAGAAGAAUUCAGAUGAGAAUGUUUCAGAAAGAUUUCUAUGAAAAGUUAUGUUCAAGCAUUAUUAUAAUGUUAAAGCUUGAUUUGAUGACUAUGAUUUCAAUAUUAUGUUUCUUUGAGAUGAUGCUAACUUUUGUGUGCACAUAAAGAGUGAAGGCACUAUGGAGUGUACGAACUACAUGGUAAUAAGAAGCUGACUUAUGCAUUGAAAUGAGCGUAUAAAGCUUAGCGGAUGACAACAAAGACGAAUUUGUAUGUUCUCAGAUGUUGAUACAGUAGUCUAAACGCGAGGUAAUGACACCAGCGUAGAGAAUGAUUCGGGAUCCUUGACAAAUGAAAUGAUUUUUUAAGCAUAAAGAAAGGUUUAUUCGAAAUGAAAUAAUUUUUCGGUAUAUUUAAAUGAUUUGAUAUUAUUUUACAAAAUGAUUAUGAAAAGGUAUUGUGAAAGGUUUUCAUAAAACCUUAAAGGAUUUAAAAAAAAAGUGGACCAUUCAACUUAAUUCCCAUCCACUAUCCUCUUGUCCAACAUGAAACUUUAUCUUAGUAAAACUUCUUGAUCCACUAUUUUACAAAAAUAUUCAAAACAAUACCAUACUACACCAAAUGUGAUAUUUUGGUAACACUAUAAAAUGGUCAGAAAUACCAUUUUCCUGACUUUUUUUUCAUCGACCAUUAAAGAAAAAGUAUAGAUGAUGUUUCAAAAACUUCCAAACCAUUGUGUUAGUUAUCGUUUUAGAUGAGGGUUGGGGUAGAGCAUCAAUACUAAAGGUUGUUAAGGAUUAAGAACUAAGACUUGAAAACAAAACCGCCUGCCUGGUUGACAACAACACCAUCCCACUAGAGUGCACAAUGAUUAUUAUUGCAUUAAGAAGAAGAUGGCAGUUAACCUUAGCGCCAUAAUCAGAACCUCAAUCCUCCCUUUGAUGAAAGCACCUAAAGGUGUCAUGCCUUUCCCCUCUACCACAUUGAAGCUCUUUGUCUAACACUACAAGAAAUGAGGGCUCUCUCGAUGCAUAAAAUCAUUGGGAGAUAUAUAAAAAGCAUCAGAAAAGGCUUUUCUGACAUACUAAUAUACGUUGGAACACAAGUCAGGAAAAAAUGUAUCGGGAGAGGAACUCCCGAUGCACAAUGUUGUGCGUCGAGAGUUUCUAGACAUCUUCUGACGUUGUAUGAACGUCGAAGAUGUUGUCAAUAUAGCAUCGAGAGAUGUCUAGGAACCAUGCGUCGGGAGAUCCUCUAUUUUUUAUUAAAAAAAAUAACUUCAAUUAAUUCCUAAAUUCAAAUUGAAAACUCUAAAUUCAAACUCAACUUCAACACUUCAACCUCAACUUCAACACUUCAAAUUCAAAUUUCUAAAACCUACAACUAAUUCAAAAUUCUAACAACACUUGAAAUUAAAUUUCAACACUAAAACUUACAACUAAUUCAAAAUCUAAAUACUAAAACUAAUUUGAAAUCUAAAAUCUAACACCUAAAACAAAUUUGAAAUCUAAAUACUAAAACUAAUUAACUAAAACAAAACAAUAACUAACUAAACCACUUACCGAUGGCGGCGACGACAGGACGACAACAGGGACGACAAUGGAGAUGACAAUGCCCUCUUCUUCUUUAUCUUCCUCUCGGUCUCCCUCUCCCUCUCUCAUUUUUUUCUCUUUAUGUUUCAUUUAUAUAAAGAAUGGAGUUAAAAAAGGCAGAGAACUCCUGACGCACAACGAAAACGAAUUGGUUCCACAAACCAAUCUCAUCACAGAGGUACUCUUUGCAAUUUAAGCUCUAUUUGCAAUGGACAGUCUUCAAAGUUUUUUUUAACGAUGUUUCCAAUGCUUUCCUUUCUCUCUCAUGUUUAAUAAAACAAAUUUCUCUUAAAACCUGUAGGGAGGCUACAUCGUAUCGAAUUUCAUACAACUGACGUGUUCAUCGAGUUACAACAAGUGCCGCACAAUAGUCUGUUCCAUUUUGAAAAGUUGUGAGUGUGACACGCUCACAUGAGGUUAGAACGAGACAUGGCAAGGCAAGCCCUACGCGCGCCUGCAACUUCUGCCACAAUAUUUUGUAAGCAAGCUGAUGUCUUUAGGCUGUUUUUGUGGUUUUUGGAAAUUUUAAGCAAAGUUUUGAUAUUUUUAUGAUCAACGGGAAUUAAAUGGAAUUAUUUCCCAUUAUUUUUCAUUAUUUUAGAUUUGAAGGAGAUCGACCAAGUUUAUAAGCCAAGGGUCCAAGCUACUCUCUAUAAGUGACAAAAAUGAGUUUAAAGUUGAUUUCUAUACAUGAAUUUACUAUCAAAUGUUUCAAGCAUGCUUUGAUGUUUGAAUAUUUGAGGAUACUGACUAUAAAGUAUUUCCAAAGCAUGAAUUUAGAAACAUUUUGGUAAACAUGUUUUUAUUCAUGAAUUUACUAAUGAAAAUUAUAAGCAAUCAUGAUUGUGCUAAGUUUUCAGAAUGUUUAAGCUUGAAAAUAAUAUUAGCAUGUUUUAGUCUAUACCUAAAAUAUUCUAAGAUAUAUAGCAACCCUUCGCGGAGAGAUUUUCUUGUGCAUAGAGGUCAUUUGAUUUGGAUAUUCAGUAAAUACCUAGCUUUCCAUCAUUGGUAUUAGAUAAGAGAUGAAGACUUCUAAAGAUGCUUAGUUUCCCAUCUCAGGGACGAGAGCUUGUACGAAUGCCUAGUUUUCCAUCUCAUUGUAGUUAUAACGAGAUAGGGCACAAUUGAUGCCUAGAGUUUCAUCUCGUAAGUAUCGUAUCACGGGAUAGGGCUUCUAUGCCUAGUUUAUUGUUUUUCGUCUCGACGAUUAUAGGUAUAACAGAGAUUUGGUUUGAGGUGCUUCUUAAGUCUUUAAUAUUUAUGUUUGUUUUGAUCCUAGGAAUUGAGCAUGUAAUGUAAAAAGUCUAUGCACAAGGGGUCAUAUGGCCAUCUCCGUGUUUCUUUAAUUAUCAAAUUUGUUCAAGUUUUUAAUUGUCUCUAGAUCAAAAUCUGGAGUUAUUUUUUGUGAUUUGGUGUACAAAUACAUACAUCCAUGUUUCUAAUUAUGAUUAGAUUGUUUUCUGCUCGCAACAUUUUAUUGUUUAGCUUGUCUUUGAUCUUGAACUUACUAUUAUGUUGAUUUAAAUUCCAUUUUAGCCUUAGAACUUUCAAAACAUCCAUUUUAGUCAUCGAGCUUCCAAAACGUAGCCAACUAAGUUUUAGUAUUUUGUAAAUUAUUUUAUCAAUUAAUAUUCAUUUAUCCAAUACUCAUCGGUCAUUUCUGCUAUAUGUGAUUGGAAUAUAUCUCAUAGGAAGCAUUUUGAAAGUUGGGAAAAGAUGGAAAAUUUUAGGGACUAGAACAAGAAUUUGUUUAAUAUUUUUUGAUAGGGUGAAUUCUUGCAAUUUCCUUGUCGUAUAUACAUAAUUUUUUCUCUCAUUUGGCAAAUUCAUUAUGCUUGAAAAUUUAGGUGAUUCAUGAGCUAGAUAAAGUAAACAACGUAUGGAAGAUGAUCUUUGUGGCUUGUGAGGAAGACGUGGAGGAAGCCUUGGUGGCCGUAGAAAAAGGGAUAUGGACUUUCAACGUUGAAUGGUUAAUGGCAUGUAUAAUGAGACAAGAAGUAGACUUGGAGGCCCUUAAUUUGCUGAGUCCCUAUGAGAAACAAGGUCACCCUAACUUUCAGUUUUGAACAAGCAGCAGCCAGCCAUUUCGUCCUUGUGUAAAUCCACUCUUUUCUCAACUCACUCUAAUUUGGUACAUAAACAAACUCUGAUCGCUCCAUCUCUAUAUUCAUCAGUACAUAAAAGACGAUAAGUUUAUUCAUGGAGAAAGUUGGAUGUAAGUAUGUUUUAGGAAUGGUCCUUCAUUUAGUAACUUUGGGAAUUGUAAAAAUGAGGUAAUGAAGUUCUAUCAAGUUGAAUGUUCUUGUUUAUGUUAGAUGAGACUGAUUCUUGGAUACCAGAAUUAACUUGAAGUACGUGUUUGAGUUCCAUUGGAGUGAUUAGAGAAAAGAUGUUCCUUUAAAAACGGUAAUUUUUUUAUGUAGACUUUCUUUUUAUUAAAAUUGCUUAAAAUACAAUUUGAGAGUAUUUCAAUAGCUUUCAAAGAGUUGUCAAACACUUGUAGUUUUUCUAAAAUAACAUAUUUUCAAAAUUAAUUACUGUAAUAGUUAAACAAAAGAUUCUUUCCCUUCGAAAUUUUAAAGUUUGUCUAGUUACCUCUUAAACCUUUCAAUUGUUUAAUAGGUCUUUCAAUUUUAUGUUUUAAGUGUCAUAAAUUUUGAUUUUUUUUUAUUUGUUAGAUAUAAAUCUGAAGAAAUGAAUAAAGUAGAUUUGUAAGUUUAAAAUAGUUUAAAAGUUGAGAAAUUAAAUUUGUAGUUUAAAAGUUGGAGUAAAUAGUUUGUGUUAAGUCGGGUUGUGAUAUUUUAUUUAUUUAUUUUAAUAAUAGAAGAGAGGGAGACGAAAACUGCAGACUGAAGGGAGAAGAAGCGGUGGCUGACUUUGUAUAUUUCUCCUUUCUUUUCAAUUUGAGAAAAUUUCUUUGCAAUUCACUUUGAAAAGGAAAUGAAUAUUUCUCCCUCAGACUUAUCUCUCUCUUCUUUUCAAUUUAUUUUCAAUUUUUCUGUGUGCUUCUCACAGUGUAUGCAUAAUCUCUCUUUCAUUUUGAUAUUCAUCUCCAUUUCAAAUAUCUCCCACACAAAGAACAAAGAAAUGAGUAAAGUAACUGAGAGAGCAUUUUGUUUUUCCCUUCAUAUGGUUGGUUACUUUUUGUCAAUUAAAUGAAAAGUGAAGAAUAAGAUAAGAUUUUCUUUACCCAUUUGCCAUCAUCAUCAAAGCUAUUUACCUCAUUUUUGUUCACACACACACAACUUCAUUUUGUUGGAUUACACUCAUUUGAGAAAAUAGCAAAAUUUUAUUAGAAGAAUAGCAAACACGAGCAUUUCAUGUGUUUUGAAUUUUCAUUAACCCUAAAAUCUCCUCGCCUGCUUUUUAGUUAAACUGUAACUAAUUUUGAAAUAUGCAAAAUUUUAGCAUAAAUAUUGAUUUUCUCCUACAUUAUCUUAACACACUUUUUUUCCUCCAAAUAUUGGAUUUAUAUCAAAUCUUUAUUUUCAAAUUUUACUUUAUCCAAAUUUUCAUUUUUCAAAAUUUCAUCGUUAUUCUACUUUUAUUUUUGUAUUUCAUAUAUAUAUAUAUAUUUAUAAUAUUUAAUCUUAUUUUUUCUCUUUUCCUAUUCAUCUUCUUCCUUUCUCUUCCUCUUCAACCUACGGCCACACCACCGUCUCUUUUCUUCCUUCUCUUUUCAUUCUCCAAUCAACUUCACCACCGUCUUCCACCUACAUCGAACGUCAAGCAAAUUUUGUCGUAUCGUCGCAUCACCGUUAGCCCGAGUCACUCCGGUUCCGUCACGCCAUGUAUGUUUAGAUUUGAAUUGUUUGGUUAUUUGUUGCACCGAUCCGUCUCCGUUAGAAUUUGAUUCUCCACAAUUUGGGUAAGUUAUGGAAUUUACAUAUAGAGUGAAUUGAAUGGAUUAAAUUGUUUGUGGAAGUGAUUGAUUUCUCUUCAAUUAUGUUUAGGUCGGUUCGUUGCACUUUAGUUUGAAAAAGAAGCUUAAGUAAGGUUAUAAGCUAAGGGAUUCUCUACUACUGGACUCACCUAUAGUUUUGAAUUGUGCUGUCUGUAUAGUUACCUCGAUUGAGUAAAGAUGUCGAAACGAUAUAUAUACGUAUGAAUGUAGACUUGAUGUUGAAUGCAUAUUGUGAUUGUCUGGGAAUAUAUAUAUAUAUAAAUAUGUAUGGAUGUAGACAGGACGACAAUUGUAGAUUGUGUUUGUAUGGAAUGUGGAUGUGUGAACUUGUGAUUGUCGUUUAGAUUGGGUGUAUGUUAUACUAAAGUAUGGUUGUGUACUGGUGAAUUGAGGGGUGUUAUGACUAUAUAGUUUGAUUGACUGAUGUAUUGAUAUGUUACUGGCGGACAUUGGGCUAAAGUGAGAUAAGUUGACUAUUAGGGUGUUCAGUGAAAGGAUUAUAUGUUGAAGUAGUUGGUUACUAUGAAUGAGUUUUAAGAUGUUUAGAAUGGAUUGAGGGGAAAAUUGUUAGAUUUCUAUUGGGUAGUUACCUUGCAGGUGUCCUACAGGAUCACCACCUGAUAUGUGCAUCCUUCGAUAGCACUAGACUGAUAUGUGCAUCCUUCGGGAGCAUUAGACUGAUAUGUGUUUCUGCGGAACACUAGACUGAUUUAUGCGUCCUUUGAGGCGUUAGACUGAUUAUGUGUAUCCUACGGAUCACAAGACUGUGACUGUGCAGGGUACCCCAAUAGGAAGUUAACAGUUUCUUUUUCCCCUAACGGGACGAAUAACGGGUCUCUUAUUGGGUAUGUUUAUACUCAUCCUUUCAUGUUUAACUAUUUUAGGCAAAGGUAACAAAUGAGGUAGACUGACGAGGGACAAGAAGGAGACGUGAUUGCCAUAAGGGAAUGUCCUUCAAAUGCUUCUGCUUUAUGUUUCUUGUUUUCCUUUGUACAUGAGGUUGUUUAAAAAUUUUGUGAUGGAACUGAGUUUACGAACUGUUGUUUUGUGAAUAGUACUUUAAAGUUUGGAUAUUUGAAAUAGGGCCCGAACUUAAGUUUGUUUUCUUUGAUCGUAUGAUUUCAAGUGAAUUUUACUAUAUUUUGUGUCAAUCAAGGUCUCUUUGUCAAAAUUAAUGACUUCAACUUAGUUAGAAAAGUUGGGUCGUUACAACAAAUUUUAAGUAUUGAUGUAAGAAUUAUGUACUUCAUUAUAAAGGUCGAUAGCUUACAAAUAUUAACACGAUCGUGUACCGAUAACAAGACGAUUGUUUACACUAUUCAAUACGAUCACCAAUAUCAUAUGAUCGUGUACCCAUGUCAACACGAUAAUUUAUUUUAAUCAAUAUUAUCAUUUACCGUUCUUAAAUGUUCGUUUAUCACGGUUAAUAGGAUCGUUUAAUGUAUAUUAUUUCAUUGCACGAUCGUUUACUUAUUCUUGCAUUGUGUUUAGUAUUAUCAUUUUGUACAUUUUAUUCUUUUAUUCAGUAAUAAAUGUAUAUCUAUGUCUAUCUAUUUCUUUCUAUCACAAUUAAAUACUUAAUUUUAUUUUAUUUAUUUUUUUUACAGAUUAUAAUGUCUUUUCCUAUUGUUGUUUUUUACGGAGGUCAAUGGAAUGGAUGUAAUAUUUAUGAGAAUUACUUAGUUGCUGAAAUUUUGGUAGGUGUCCGAGUCAGCUUUAAUUCUCUAGUUGAUUUAAUAUGUGAACAGAUUCAAUUGGAUGGAUAAGUAGAAUUAUCUGUUUUACUUGAUUUUGGUAAAAGCAAGGUCCAACUGUGGUGCCAGUAAAGAAAGACAAUGAUGUGGCUUGGUAUUUAUCUUUUGCUAAAGAUGCAACUAAUAUACAUCCAUUAGUUGCUCAUGUAACUGUUGAUUUUUUUUAGAAGGUCUUCUUCUUCUUAGAGAACUACCUGUAGCUACCAUGCUUAGUUCAAUUAGAGAUGUAUUGCAAAAGUGGUUUGAUGAAAGAAGUAAAGCUACUUUUACAAUGAAGAGUUGUUUGACUUCUUGGGCUGAGAACGUGUUGCAUUUAGAAUAACAUGAAAAGUCAAGAAUUUUAUUGGUAAUUUUUUUUUUUUUUUUAAUGUUUGUAUCUCAGGUAGAUAUAAAUAGAUUGCUAUUUUUGUCCAUUCGAUAGAGAAAUAUAACAAUUUAUGUGUGCUUGUUUCAGAUAUAUAGAGAUAGAUAGCUAUCAAUGUCUAUUUGUCUCUAUUUGUGCAUGCUUUUUUUUUUAAUUUUUCUAUAUUUGUUUUAUGUAUUAGGUUGAUCCAAUUAGUAUGACUGAAUAGAAAGUAAUGGAUGAUACAAAAUGAUAAUGUGAUUUAUUUAUAUUGGUUCUAAUUUGAAAUAUUCAAAUUUACUUUGGAAAUUAGUAUAAUUAGUAUAAUAUAUAAUGAUACAUUAUAAUAUAAAGUUUAUAUUUAAUGAAACUUUAUUAUAUAAAUUUAAUUUUAGAUAAAGUUCAAAAUUAAUUUAUGAGAAAAUAUUUGAAUGAGUUCAAAUAUUAAUUUAAUGUGGAUUUGUUUCAUAUUAAAACUAUUAAUUAUGAGAUAAAGUUAUAUUUGAAUAUGAUUCAAAUUUAACUUAAGUUAAAUAUAAAAUAUUUAAUUUAGUUAUUAAUUAAUUGAAGAAUUAAUUAAUAGUUUAGUUUAAUAUUAUUUAAUUAAAUUUGAUUUAAUUAAAUUAAUAUAAAACUAUGGGUAUUGGAGAGAUAUUCAUUCAAUAAGAUUUAAAUGAAAUAUUAAUUAAAUAUGAUUUAAUUAAUUAUUAACUAAUUGAUUAAUGGUUAAUUAGUUAGUUGAUUUGAAACUUCUAUUAAUUUAAUAUUUUUUAAGUUAAUAGAAUCCUAUGAUUUUCUCCUACCCCGUCUCCUACUCAAUGAAAGAAAGAGAGUUAUAAAUAUGUAGAAGAAAAACAUCUUUUCUUAACCAAAAUAAAAUCGAUGAUUUUCUUUUCUGCAAAAUAGAUUGUAACGACCUAAUUUUUCGAAUUAAGCUGAAGUUAUUACUUUAAGACUAGAUUCGUCUUUAACCAUAAGACUUUAUAAUUUAAAAAAUAUAUUUUUUAACAACAUUAAAGAGUUUUUAUUCGGCUCUAUUUCAAAUAAAAUUUUGAAAGUGUAAAAGUAUCGAUAAUAAAGAAAGUUCAAGAACAUAAAAGUCGUUCAAUCAUGAAACCCAAAACAGUCUCAAUUACUAAAGAAAACCAAAAAAAAAAAAAAUAUAAAGUAAAAGCAAUUUGAAGGACAUUUCCCUAUGGCAGUUUCGCGGAAAAAGAUUAAACAUAAAAGGGUGAGUAUAAACAUACCCAGUAAGGGACCCACUACUGAUCCUGUUUAGAAGAAAAAUAAAAUUGUUAACUUCCUAUUGGAGGUGCCCUGCACUUUAAAAGUCUUGUGAUCAUGUAGGAAUACACAUAAGCAGUCCAAUGCCCUAAAGGACACAAAUACUAGUCUAGUGCUCUGCAGAAAGCACAUGUCAGUCUAGUGCUCUCGAAGAAUGCACAUGUCAGUCUAUUGCUCUCGAAGAAUGCACAUGUCAUUCUAGUGCUCUCGAAGAAUGCACAACAGGUGGUGAUCCUGUAGGACACCUGCAAGGCACACUACCCAAUCGACAAAGCUAACAAUUUUCCCUUAGUCCAUUAUAAACAUUUAAUCAAUCCAUUCCUAGUAUAGUCAAACUACUCCAUCAUAUCAUCAAUCCAACUUAACACACUUACGUUCAAUCUAUUCAAUCUAUCACAAAAUCAGUUGAUACUAUAACAACACACCAGACAGUCAAGAUAUAUAUAUAUAUACAUAACACCUUUCUCAGUUUACAAAUACAUUAUCCAUCGUAUCUACUUCUAUACCAGUAAGUUUACAAACACUAACUGUUGAGUUUCUACAGUAGAUUCUUGAAGAUGUGACUCUUGAACAGAUGGAUUCUCAUGGAUGAUCACAUGUUUGUUAUUUUGAUGGUCAUCAUUCUUGUCUAGAUUGUGAUGACUAGAAUCAUCACGAAGAUCAUCAUACAUGUUGUUAAUAUCAUCAAACAAUUGAUUCUGAUUCUAGUAUAGAAAGAAAAAAGGAUAAUAAAAAAAUAGUUACAAAAUGAUCGUGUAUCCUUAAGCAAACAAUCGUGUAGAAUAUCUAAACGGUUGUUUUACCAAGGGUGAUCGAUAUUUUAGAUGGGAUAUGCGAUCGUUCAUAUGUGAUAUGUGAUCGUGUAAAGAUAUAUCAAACCUUUGUUCUGUCAGAAGUCGUGCUAAGAAGAGUUGAAAGCUUGUAAUAAGAUCCAUCAAAACUGAAAGAUUUUACAUCAACACGUUCCUGACACAGUAAUGCAGUAUCAAUGAGCAUCAAAUUACGUGAGAUACGUAUUAGAAAAUAUCUAACUGCUCAGUUAAUUUUUUAUGGACAUCAAAUCACCUUUUUUCAAGCUUAAGGAAGGAAAUGUCGACACUAUAUAUGUCAGAGUUGUGCAUUGCAAUGGAAGUGCCAACACGAGGUGAUACAUGUGUGUCUGGGAUGUAAAUGCCACUCCCCGACUAGGACCAACAUAGACUUAGGGAGAAAGCAUGCUAGGAAUUGGAGUUGUGUCCUCAAUUUCUUCAAGGGACUUGAGCAUUUCUUCUUACACUAGAAUGUCUCCUGUUCAGAGAGUUUAUAGGAUUUCUCAAGGCCAUUUUUGCAUACUUAACAGCUCUUGACAACGGUAGAGAGUCUAACUCUACACUUUCAAGGGGUUCCAACUCCACCACUCGCUGAGCCAAAGAUAGAGACGAAUCAUUAAUGAUCCAGUAAGCAACAUGAAACCUUGUAAUUUUGGGGUUAACGGUAGUCCCUCCCAUUACUAGCUCAACACUUAAACGGAGUCUCCUCUAUAAAAUAUAAAAUAAUACAGACACAAAUAGUGAAUGAAAUCUUGUGACGUAACAAACACAAAUUUUAGGUAUACUGCAAUUUGACUAAAUAUUGAACAAGAAAACCCAAGGGAAUACACAAAAAUCCAACGUUUUUAGGGGUCAAUUUGGAAAAUGGCAAAACUACUUUUUCUUUUCAAUUUUAGCAAACAACAUUUUUUGCGCGUGCAUGGUAUUUUAUAAAAUACCAAAAUAUUCAACUUCUCCAACUAUAAUUAUUUUGUUUUUACGUUAUAAUUAAUUUAUGUUAUGUAUUUAUCAACUUUUAAUUAAUUUUUACUUGAAAUAGAUACAUUAACUCAUAUCAUAACUUUUCUCUUAAAAUCUCAGGACUCAAUUAAUUAAUUCAAUAUUUUAAUAACAUUAUUCAAUCUUAUUAAUUUCAAAAUAAUCUAAUUGAAUUUGAAUUUCAAAAUAACCAAAUUGAAUUUCAAAAUUACAAAAUUAUUAUUUUCUAGAAUUUGAGAAUCUCAACGAUAGAUUUUAUAUUAAAAUAAACUUAUCUCAAAAUAAUUUUAAUGACUUGAAUAUCAAGAUAAUUAAAUUAUUAUUUUAAAAAUUGGAAGAAAAGCACAAAAAGCGCACACGCCCACUCACGUACACACGCACGCGCGCGUAUACGCACACACACGCACACGCACACGCACAAAAGCGCACACGUGGACACUCACACCCACGCACACGUAGACAUACACACCCACGCACACGUGGACACGCGCAUACGCACACACGUACGCACUCACGCACACGCACGCACACACGCACAUAUGCACAAAGAUGUAUAAAUGAAUUAAAAUUAAAAAAUAACUACAAUAAUUUGACUUACUAACGUUAAUUAAAUUAUAAUUUCUAUCAAUAUUGGUUUAAAAGUGUCAUUAAUGUAAUUAUUUCAAUAUAAUGCACUCUUAUCCAAUUUUACGAACAAAAAACAAGUCGAAUAUGUACCAUUAGAUGACACUCUUUGUCAUAAGAGAUAUAGCAACGUUUUUAUGGGUCAUUUUGAAAAAUGGCAAAACUACUUUUUCUUUUAAAUUUUAGCAAAUAGAAUUUUUUACACGUGUCCAUGAUAUUUUAUAAAAUACCAAAAUAUUCACCUUCUCAAACAGUAAUUAUUUCGUUUCUACGUUGUAAUUAAUUUAUGUUAUGCAUUUAUUAGCUUUUAAUUAUUUUUUACCUGAAAAAGAUACAUCCUUUUUCUUAAUAUCUCGGGACUCAACUAAUUGAUUCAAGAUUUUAAUUUUAUUCAAUCUUACUAAUUUCAAAAUAACCUAAUUAAAUUUCAAUUUCAAAAUAACAAAAUUAUUAUUUUUCGAAAUUUGAGAAUCUCAACGAUAGAUUUUGUAUCAAAAAUAACUUUAAUUGAAUUUCAAAAUUAAAAAAUAUUAACUUGUUCGCACACAAGCACACGCGCACACGUGCACAACGCACGCACACACACGCACACACACCCAUCCACACACGCACACGCACACGCACAUAUGCACACACGCACAAAGAUGUGUAAAUUAAUUAAAGUUAAAAACAAAUACAUUCAUUAUGUUCAGAAAGAGUUUUAAACCAUGUUCAUUUGACUUAAUAACAUUGAUUAAAUUAUAAUUUCUAUCAAUAUUGGCUUAAAAGUGUCAUUCGUGUAAUUAUUUCAAUAUAAUGCAGUCUUAUCCAAUUUUACGAACAAAAAACAAGUCAAAUAUGUACCAGUAGAUGACACUCUUUGUCAUAAGAGAUAUAGCAACGUUUUUAUGGGUCAUUUUGAAAAAUGGCAAAACUACUUUUUCUUUUAAAUUUUAGCAAAUAGAAUUUUUUACACGUGUCCAUGAUAUUUUAUAAAAUACCAAAAUAUAAACCUUCUCAAACAGUAAUUAUUUCGUUUCUACGUUGUAAUUAAUUUAUGUUAUGCAUUUAUUAGCUUUUAAUUAUUUUUUACCUGAAAAAGAUACAUCAACCCAUAUCAUAACUUUUUUCUUAAUAUCUCGGGACUCAACUAAUUGAUUCAAGAUUUUAAUUUUAUUCAAUCUUACUAAUUUCAAAAUAACCUAAUUAAAUUUCAAUUUCAAAAUAACAAAAUUGUUAUUUUUCAAAAUUUGAGAAUCUCAACGAUAGAUUUUGUAUCAAAAACAAUUUUAAUUGAAUUUCAAAAUUAAAAAAUAUUAACUUGUUCGCACACAAGCACACGCGCACACGUGCACAACGCACGCACACGCACGCACACACACUCAUCCACACACGCACACGCACACGCACAUAUGCACACACGCACAAAGAUGUGUAAAUUAAUUAAAGUUAAAAAAACAAAUACAUUAAUUAUGUUCAGAAAGAGUUUUAAACCAUGUUCAUUUGACUUAAUAACAUUGAUUAAAUUAUAAUUUCUAUCAAUAUUGGCUUAAAAGUGUCAUUCGUGUAAUUAUUUCAAUAUAAUGCGGUCUUAUCCAAUUUUACCAACAAAAAACAAAUCGAAUAUGGAUCAGUAGAUCUACACUCUUUGUCAUAAGAGACAUAACAACGUUUUUAGGGUCAUUUUGAAAAAUGACAAAACUACUUUUUCCUUUGAAUUUUAGCAACUAGCAUUUUUUGCACGUGCAUGGUAUUUUAUAAAAUACCAAAAUAUCAACAUUCUUCAACUGUAAUUAUUUCGUCUCUACAUUGUAAUUAAUUUAUGUUAUGCAUUUCUCAGCUUUUAAUUAUCUUUUACUUGAAAUAGAUACAUCAACUCAUAUCAUAAUAUUUUUCUUAAUAUCUCGAGACUCAACUAAUUAAUUCAACAUAUUAAUAAUUUUAUUCAAUCAUACUAAUUUCAAAAUAACCUAAUUGAAUUUGAAUUUCAAAAUAACAAAAUUGAAUUUCAAAAUAACAAAAUUGAAUUUCAAAAUAACAAAAUUGAAUUUCAAAAUAACAAAAUUAUUAUUUUUCGGAAUUUGAGAGUCUCAACGAUAGAUUUUGUAUUAAAAUAACCUUAAUUGAAUUUCAAAAUUAAAAAAUAUCAACCUGUUCACUAUCUUUAUCUCAAAAUAACAUUAAUGCCUUAAAUAUCAAGAUAAUUAAAUUAUUAUUUUAAAAUUGGAAGAAACUCAACAUUAAAAAUAUUAACUUGUCGGACACAAGCAUAGAAGCACUGCGCACACACGUACACAUGCACACUUACACACACGCGCGCACACGCACACCUACACACAGACACCCACAGACGCACGAACCCACGCACACACACAUGCACACGCGCACGCAUGCACACACACACCUAUCCACACGCACACAAGCACACACACAUGCACAAACGCACACACGUGUACGCACAAACCUUAUCUCAAAAUAGUUCCUAUUUUUGCUGACAGUUUAUUUUUUGCCAUCGAUAGAGGAUCUUCCAAUAGACCUACGUGACGGUGUGUGUUGACAGCUUAAUUUUGUUGGCAAAAGAAAAGUUGAUUAGUUUUUGAAGAUUUACUGACGAUAUUUGUCAUCGACAAAGGGUAAAUUUCUUGUAGUGCAUGUACAUCAAACAUAUCAAAUUUGUUAAGUGUACCAAUGAAGUAUAACAAGUUUAUUAGUGGUGUAUCACGUGUAUCAAACUUAUUAGUGAAGUCUUUAAGUGUAUCAAACUAAUCAAGUGUAUCAAGGCCUCAGGGGUAUCAAGUGUAUCAAGAAGAAUCAAGUGUAACGAGAAGUAUUAUGUGGAACGAGAAGUAUUAUAUGUAUGAAGAUGUUUCAAGUGUGUAUCAAAAAGUAUCGAGUGUAUCAAUGAGUACCGAGUGCAUGAAUUGUAUCUAUCAAAUGUAUCAAGUGUAUCAGUAAGAAGUAUCAAGUGUAUCAAGGGUAUUAGGUGUAUCAGACGUGUAUAAGGUGUAUCAAAUAUACAUCAAUAACGAGGGCAUUUGUGACAUUUUACCUCUUGAUGUGUGAGUUGGUCUUUGUUUUUGUCAUUUUCUCAAAUAAUAAAGUAUGUGUUCUAUGGACUUAAUUAUUAUAACUUAUUUUGCCAUUUUCGCAAGUGUCCCUUAAUUGUAAUACAUGUAUAUGUGACAUAAUCUAAUCAAACUAACUCAUAAAUGGACUUAAUGUAUCAAGAGGUAUUAGGUGUAUCAGACGUGUAUAAGGUGUAUCAAAUGUACAUCAAUAACGAGGGCAUUUGUGACAUUUUACCUCUUGAUGUGUGAGUUGGUCUUUGUUUUUGUCACUUUCUCAAAUAAUAAGGUAUGUGUUCUAUGGACUUAAAUAUUAUAACUUAUUUUGCCAUUUUUGCAAGUGUCCCUUAAUUGUAAUACAUGUAUAUGUGACAUAAUAUAAUCAAACUAACUCAUAAAUGGACUUAAUCUAUCUCAUGGACCACGAAUUCUUCAAUUACUUGCAAAUUUGGUGAGUUCCUUCAAAUGGUGGGCGGAGAGCUUAAUUUUGAGAGAGAGGAAAAGUCGUGAAGAGUAUUUGCGAGAGAGGGGGGAACGUCGCCAGAGAGCAUUUGCGAGAGAGCUAAAGACAGCGACGAUGUGGGAUGAAGUAAGGUUUUUUUCGGUCAUUGUUCACAAGUGGGAUGAAAGCUUCGAAUUAUUUGUUUUAAAUCAAAAAACGUAUGAUUGAAGGAAAACAUUGAUUUUUAUUAGGGUAAUUUUUUAAUGACACAUAAUUUAUGCCAUUAUUUACAAUGCCAAAAUUUUGUCAAGAAAACUCAAUUUGUGUCACAAAAAAAUUUGUAUUUUUAUUUUUUUAACGACACAUUUUAUUCCCUCAUAUCCCUUUUUCUUGAUUUCAAGUGUCAUUAAAACUUAUAUUUCUAAAUAAAUUUAUUCGACGAAAGUGGCUAGAUUGGUGGGUUUGACGGCGAAGGCUUGUUGUGGGAGCAACGACAACAGUGGUUGGAGUGUGGAAUCGACGACGGCAAGUGGCAAAAAAUUGGGGGCAAGGGUUCUUCAUAACGACUCGAUAGCCCACUUCGAAUUUUUUUGAAAUUUGAGGUUUUUUCAUUUGAAAAUUUUUUUAAUGACAAAAAAAUUGACGUUAAUUAAUGACGCAAAAUUUGUGUUGAAAUAAAUUAAAUUGUGUCAAUAUGAUUGUUUUAAGAAAUAAUCCAUAUUUAUAUUUUCAACAACACAAUGUACCUCAUCCCACCUCUUUUUUCUUUUAUUUUCAACGACACAAUGUCUUGAUUAAAAUCCAUUUUUCUAGUAGUGACUGAAAAAAAAACUGGACAGAAUCAUAAUAUCUUUGAUAAUUAAAUCACCAGUUGGUUUGAACAUAUAUAAUCUUGGAUCUAUUCUAUUAUGAUAUGACCAUGGUACAUCAUGAACAUACAUUGACUAAAAAACUUAAAUUGAUGAGUGAAUGUAAUAAAUUUAAUAUUAAUUAUAUGAUCAAUACUUUACACAUGUAUAUUGGUAUAUCAGUCAAUAACAGUAGUAAGACAAAUUAUAAAAUAUAAGGGAUAAAAGUCCUACACAUGCAUGUAUGGUAUACUCUCUUGAUAGCAAAAUGCAUUUAUGUCAACUCAUGUUUGAAUGCAUUUAUGUAGGAAAUUCAAUAAAAUAAUUAAGAAACCUUGCAAUAUGUGAGAGAUAUACGAACUUCAAACAAAUUUUACAAGUUUCAGCAAAAAUUUUCAAACAACUUUUAAAGUUUAAGCAAAAAGUAACCGUAGGUAGGAAGGGGAGCAAAAGUGGGGUCUCGAAUUAAUUCUGAAAAAUUAGUAGGCUUUCAAAAUUUAGGUUCUAGAAGUAGAAUUAUUGCAGAAAAAUAAAUAAUUGCAUCAUUCAAAUUGAAUCAGACAUAUCAGGAUGUAUAUAUUCUCCACAACGUAUAAUGGAGUAUAAACAUAAAGUUUCUAUAUACAAAGCUAUGUAUCUCUACCCUUGACUUCUCUUUCUCUCUUUCUACCUUUUUUAUCCUUUCUUUCUUCCAUUCACUCAAUACACUUGCAAGAACCUUCAUUUUUUUGUAUUUAAAUUUUCUUGGCACCAUCCUUUUUUUUAAUUAUCAAGGCUUUGUUAUUGUGUACCAGUAUUGUGUCGUGCCUCCUUCACUUCUCAUCAUCAUUUUCAUGUCACAUCUCUACCUUGUCAAUUUUCGUUUUUCACUCAGCUUUCUUUCUUCUUUUGUCUUCACUACUUUCUUCGCUCCUUCUUCUCAAGCUCUAACUUUUGCUAUUAUCAACCAGUCUCAAAUGACCAUUGGAAAACCUAUAGCCCACUGAGAGGCAGCCAAUAUAGUAAUGUCUCUAAUGAUAAACUCCAAUGAAAUCAAAAGUUCUUCUUUAAGAUUUGGAAAAAUAUAUUAGAUAAACCCGGACGUGGUGAACGCGGUGAACGCAGACGCACGGACGGUGAACACGGCAGAAGUUAGAGAUCCUCAGAGAGAACUUGGCAUUUUCGAAUGCGGUAGAGACAAGUCUAGGGCUUCAAAGGAUUCAACCCAAUAUUUUCUUUAUAUAUAUAUAUAUAUAAUAUAUAUUAUAUAUAUAUAAAUAUAUUUAAUAACACUUGACGUUUUCAAAAACGUCAAGAAAAACGAUCUUACUUAACGUCUAAAAAAACAUCAAGAAAUUUAAAAAAUAACUCUCUCUGGCUUUUUAUAAAAAUUCUUGACGUUUUAAAACAUAAAGAAUUUUUAAGAUAUUUCUUGACGUUUUUAAAAUGUCAAGUAAAAGUACAUAUUACUUGACGUUUGAAAAUUUUGAAGAAUAUUGAAUAUAUAAACAUUCUUGACGUUUAAAAAUGUCAAAAUUUUUAUAGAUAUUUCUUGACGUUUUUAAAACGCCAAGAAAAAAUACAUAUUAGUUGAUGUUUAAUAAACGUCAAGAAAUCUGAAAAUUGACCUACCCGCCUUUUCGUAAAAAUUCUUGACGUUUUAUCUUUGGAACUACUCCUUUCUUGACGUUUUUUUUGAAAAAAAUGUCAAGAAAGAAAAACAACAAACGUCAAGAAAGGCCUUUUUUGUAGUAAUGACAUACAUAAAUAUAUAUAUAUACAUAUAUAUAUAUAUAUAAUGAAUUAAAAUGGUUUUGUUGCUUUACUGUUUUACUCUAUAAAGGAAGAGCAUUAUAAAUAUAUUAUUGAGGAAACAUUUUUUGAAAUGACUGGUUUUGGAAGUGUCAUUAGAUUUUUAGUUAGUUAAGCACAUUUUCCUCCCAAAUAGUAGUCGAAAUACAACUUUUUUUAAGAAGAAGAAACCGAAUCAUUCAAACUAAGAUAAUCCUAGGAUAAGAGUCAUUAUCUAUUAACAUAGAGCUAAAGUUACAAGGUUGAAGGCUAGAGGGAAGCCCGAAACAACCUAAUCUAACAAAGCUUAAAGUUAAGAGUUGGUAGUAACAUCAUAUUGGUUACAAGAUGAAUGACGCCUAGACCAAACUCCGAUCAAGUUACAUAUGUCUUCCCACAAGUAAACAAUAAACCUUGAUUUAUCCUUAAAAAUUCUAUUGUUUCUUUCUAUCCAAACAGUCCAAAGUAAGCCAGUUAUGGAGGGAGGAAUACACAUUAGAAAGCUCAGUUAUGGAUGGAGGAAUACACAACUUUUUCUCAUGGUCAUUUUCCUCGUGGGCAUUAUCUUCAUGUUUCUUCUUAUUCCGACUAAAAUACAAGCACAAAUUAUUCUUCGCCUUCGUAUAGGUUUGUUUGAAGAAGAUUAAAAAAGUCCUUAAUUUAUCUCGACACUUCCAAAACCAGAAUAUAAUACCCGUGCUACAUAAAUCCCUCUUUCCAAAUAGUCAAACAUGAACUAUCCAUGAAUAUCUUGAAUAAACAAGAGAAACCCUAACUAAACCCAAAUAGAAAAUACGCUGCAAUCUAAAAUAUACUUAAAGAAACAAAAAGAAGUUUUAAUGAUGUGGGUUUUUUACUGAUCUUCUUCAACAACAAAAUAACUCAACGCCACAGUUCAAUUUUUCCUUCCACGAAUUGGUUUUUAAAGAGUUUUCACCGCGAAUUUAUCUUUUUGGUUCAACAAGUAAACAACAUGUGAAUCCCCAAAUGCAAGGUUUUAUUAAAAAAUUAAAAUAUAAUUUUUUUAAAAAAAUUAUAAUACCUAAUUUUUUUUUAUAUAUUUAUAACCUAAUUUUCUGUCAUUGCAUACUUGAGAGAAAUAUAUUUUCAAUUAGCAUAAUAACCUUUAUAUAGUAAAUUAAAUUUGUAGAAUGAGAAAAGACCUUAGAUCCAAAAAAGUUAUUUAUUUAUUAUUGGAGUGAAUUGUCUAAUUAAUGUAGUUAAUGGAUGGUUUUGUAACCAUAAAAAUAAUGAAAAUAAUUUUCUAAAAGAAUGAAUGAAAAUUUGGAAAGUUAAAAGGUUUUAGGAAUUAAAAAAAGGGUGUAACAUUAUAAAAGACUACCAAAUAUACUGUAAGAGACAUGCAUUAAAGAAGCUAAGGCAUGCAUACUACCAAAUAUACUAUAAAUAAACCAGAAUUCUUUUUAAGAAAUUAAACAACUAAUUAAAUAUAAAGAAGAAAGAUUAGAAAAUGAAUGAUCAAACAAACUAUGACUCAUUUAUUUUUGACAGGUUCGGCCAGUAUCACCUGACAAUUCAUUUUCACCAAGAGAAUAAACAUGAGUAGCCUUGGAAUCAAGUUCCUCCGAUAAAAGCCACGGAGUUGAUGGGUUAGAGACAGAACCAGAAUUUGAGUUCAACGAUCUGGAUGGAAAAUUCUGAAACUAGCAGCAACAAGAAGUUAAGAUAACGAAUUAUUUUCAAUAUAGAAAGGCUAAUUGUAAGAAGUUGUUAAUGAAGUGUCCAAAUGCAUUAUGGUAAUAUUGGGUGCAGAUUGUUUGGAAGUUUUAUCCGUGUGCUGUGAAGCACCACAGAGUUGAAGCAUAUGAAACCAGUGUUUAUCUGACAAAAAAUAAUGUCAUGAUCAUUGCCUUUCCAUUCCAUAAAUUUAUGGAUAGCAAAAGAAAGAGAACUCUCAACACAUGAAUCACCAUAAAGACACACAUGACAACAUUAUUUUGGAUGAAGUUCUAAUAUUGCAACCAUGGAGGAAAAAUCAGCAAAUCUUAAAUAGAUGUAGUAGUCCAAAUGAUAAAAGUUUGUCUCAAGAUAAUAUUUCAGUAACUGCAGAUGCAUUGUGCUGAAUCUAACUCUUGUGUUUCACGGUAAUGAACAAGGACAAUGUGUUCAAAGGUCCUGAACAAAAAGCAGAAGCAAGUCAUAAUUAUAUAAGUAGAACACGAUAUACUGCCACUGUCUAAUUUCAUUUUUCUUUGCUUGUGGCAUGAUGGGGAUAGACCCCACUGAAACAACUGGUAGCAAGCAAUUUAACAAUUUUCUUUCAACCAUAACAUACUUAUCUAGGAGCCAAUAACCCGCGAACAAAGGUUGGGCUAUCUAGUCCGUGGCAUAGUAUACAUGUAUCCUUUCUACAUUACCAACCUGCUGAAGAGAAAGAAAAGAUUAUCAAAGCACACCUUUCCUUGGUUAUUAAGGCUGUAAAAGAAUGAAAAUUACCAUAAAUCUAAACAUAGUUAAUAUUAGACCAUUGAACAACUUAUAGAUUCAAAAGGAAAGACUCAAACCACCAAUAGACUGGUUAAUCAUUUAAAAUGAUCUCCAACAACAUGAUACGCAGUAUAUCGUGCUAGAUCCAUAAUUACCAGAUGUGGACUCCUAUGGUAAUUUCAUUGAUGAUACGCAGCUAGUAGGCAAGAUUAUGAAAUGAAGACGGUAUGUGAGACGAUUGAAAAGAUCAAGAUGAUAAAAUUAUAGGGAUUUGAAUUUAUAUCUUAAGAACACCAGAGUCAAAUGCUUAAGAUGAUUAACUGUGUUAAAUUUAACUCUAUAAUAUAUAAAUUAUUAGCAAAAACAGUAGAAAUUACUUCAAAUUUGUAGAGAGAACAUAUAAAUUAUAUUCUAGAGAAAGAGCAUCUGAAUUAUAUUCUACAGAAACACGAGCCCAUAGUAUAUGUACUGAGUAGCAAUGACAGUGAAAAAGGGAAUAGUAAGUAACUAAUCUCAUAAACCCCUUUCUCACAUCUAACCAAGUUCUUUCACAACAUGCAAAAGCAUCAAAAUAUUUAAGAAAACUUCCAAUAUUGCAUUUGGAACUCAUUGAUUGACUUCAACGUUUAAGAGUCCUAAAAGACACAGCUUACUUUCUCACCUCUCACCACUAAACCUAUGGCAACAUCUUUUUAUAAGAUAUUAAGCUAAUCUUUAGAUUGUUUACCGAAUAAUCGUCUAUUGUUUUGUAAUUGAUCCCACCAAGCGCUUACGCCACCUUGAAGUUUGAGAGCAACUAAUCGAACCUUCUUGUGUUCGGGUGUAUUGGCAUAGUCGAAAAAAAUUUCUACGUUCUUGAUCCAAUCAAGAAACUUCUCCACGUCCAUUUGACCAUUGAAGGUAGGGAGAUCCACUUUCAUACGUAUUUCUUGAUCUUCUUGAAAGUAUGGUCGAAGUCCAAGCCUUUGUUGAGGUUCUUGAUGAAUGUUCAGCAAGUUGUUCAUCGGAAGAGUCAGAAUCGUUUAAGAAAUUUCCAAGUACGUUGUUUCCAUACAAUCGAUUAUUGUUGAUGUGAAUAGGUUGAUUUCUUAGUAGUUCUUGGUUUACAACAGGGUUUAUUGGUUUUUCUUGUCUUUCUUGGUUUGCUGCAAUUGGGUUUCUUGGGGGCUGAAUUGCUUCUUCUAAAGGUUGGACAUGAAAUCGGGUAAAAAGGUUUGUUAAUUCUACUAACGAUUGCUGUAUAUUCGAUUGCCCUUUUCGAAGUUCUUCAAUAGCUUGUUCUACCAACUGCAAGCGUUGGUUGAAGGAGGCUUCCGCGUCCAUGGAUAAGAGUGGUAGGAUCCAAGUUUUUUUAGGGAAGAGUGAGCUAGGAUCACGCUCUGAUACCAAUUGAUGCAGUAAUUGCAAAGCUAGAAAUCUUUAUGUAUAAUGCCUCUUUUUUUAUGUCUUAUUAAUGAAAAUGAGAAGCUUUUUUAUAGGCUGGAGAUUACAAGAGUUGUUAAACUAACUUGGGGUUGAGUUAGUUUAACUUGGAGUUGAGUUAGUUAUAACUAACUCAAGAUACAAAAUUGGUAAUUCAAAUAACUAAUCCUAAACUAUAAAAAUGGUAAUUCAAACCCCUCCUCUAGGAUAAAACUCAAGAAACAUCAAGAAGGUAGAUGUUCUACAUCAAAGUGUAGAGAACGAUUCAAAAUCCUUGGUGAAAGGAAUGAAUGUUAACUAAUGUGUGUUUAUGUGAAAUUGUUAUGUUAUGAGUAUGUUAAGGAUAAAGAAUGGUUUAUGCGAGAUAAAAUUAUUUGAUGUUGUUUAUGCGAAAUGAUGUCUAUGAAAAGGUAUUGCGAAAAGGAUUUCAUAAAACCUUAGUCUUUUAGACAUUCUUUCAAAAAUUCAUCUUCCAAGAUGAGGUGUUUAGGCCAAGUAGAGAAGAAGGUUGAAGGAUUUGCAGCGAGAUGACCAGACGUUUUGAAAAUAGUUAAGCAUUGGUUGUUUGGUCAAAGUGUUGUAAUUAUGUAUCAAACACAUGUUAUUAAUAAACAUCUUGGUAGGUAUUUAUUAUACUAAAGUCAAAGUGUUGGACUUUAGUAUUGCAUGGACAUACAAUUUUGAAUGAAAAAUCCUUAUAAAUGGGGCCUUUGAACUCAUUUGAUGGGUUGGCUAUUAUAUUUGGGCUUUCACACCAAAUGGAAUUUCUUUUUCUUAUUUACUUAAAAAAAAAAGAAAAUUUACCACGCCCAUUUUUUUCAUCUAUUUCUCUCGUCCGGUUCUUUCAUCCAACGGGUCCCACAACUCGAUUAUGAGUCUAGAGGAUACUAAGUCAAACUUAGUGGUUGUUCGAAUAAAACGCAGCUUCAAAUGUAAGUAUUCUAAAAACCUUAUUUUUUGGUUUAGUCUCGUUAACUAAGCCCAAUUAGGGUAGAAUUUCGAUUCUUUUUCUGUUGUGCAUGUCUUAGUUCUAUCAGUAACUCCUUUCAGGGUGAUAGCUCUCAUCAGCAGACUUUCCAUUGCUGGUUUCUUCCUUAGUCAUCAUUGUAUUGUUGUUUUCCACAAUAGAUAGGGUGAGUUGCAGUUUUACAUGAAAUGCACUGCUCAACCCACACUCUUUUCUCACUAGUUCCUUAUUCUCAAUCUUCAACGCAAAUUUCAUCAUCUGGGCCAACCCAAUCGGUUCCACGGUUUCCACUUCCAUUUUUAUUCAUGGGCUAAGCCCAAUCAUCAAAGUCUCCUCUAACACUACCGUUUGAAGAAAUGCUACCAGAGCUAAAUAUCGAUCAAAUCGGUUGCGGUAUUCUUCUACAUUCAUUUCUGUUUGAUUGAGAAAAAUCUUCCAACCAAAGUUCCUUCUCGAAUUGAUCGAAACUGUACAAGCAUUCGUUCUUUCAGGUCAGCCCAAUUCUUAAAAACUUCCAACUCUUCUUGUGCUUGGUACCAAUCCAAUGCCAGAUCAUCAAAACUAAUAACGCCUGUGGUUAAUUUCUCUGAAUCGGUAAGAUCAUGUAUCUUAAAGAAGCGAUAGGCUCUAAAUGUGAGACCCAUUUCUAAUUUGAGUAAUGAAGUAAAAUUGGCUAGGUAUUAAGAAUUUGGCGUUUGAAUAAAUCAACGAAAAGGAUUAAGCGAUAAAAAAAUUUAUGGUUAAGUAUACGUUAUUGCGAUUCAGUGGGUAGUUCGCGAAGGAAGUUGUGCGACCCAUUUCUAAUUUGAGUAAGGAAGUAAAAUUCGGCUAAGAAUUAAGAAGUUGGUGUUCAAAUAAAUCCAUGGAAAGAUUAAGUGAUAAGAUCUUUUACGGUUAAGUAUACUUUUUUGCGAUAAGUGGGUAGUUCGCGAAAGAAGUUGUGCGAUAAUGUAACACCCGAACUCUAAGGUAAUUAAUUUAAUCGGACCAUUCGAUAUUUUUACUCUUAAUUUUUGUUCGACGUCAUUUUGUUGUUUUGUCUUAAAAAAAAAAGUGUUGGAAAAGUCUUUCAUAAUAAUAAUAUAUUAUUAUUAUUAUUAUUAAUUAGCAUAAAAAAAAGGAAAAGAAAAAGAAAUUAAAAUAUCUUUUUCCUCUCUCCCCUCUCUCACGCGUGCGACACCCUCUCUCCAUCUUUUUCUUCUUCUCUUUCCUGUACCCUAACCCAGCCGACCAUCAUCUUCUCCCCUUCCCUUGCCGUUCAGAUCCAUGGCCUCCGCCCACCGCCGCGUGACCCUCUGCCCAGCCCCGCCGCGUGACCUCUGUCUCCGUCGAAGCCAAGUCCAGCCGUCGUCCAUUCCUUUCCUCUCUUCUUCUCCGUUCGUGAAGCCCAGUCGCCGCGUCAGAUCGUCGAUCGAUUUUGAGGCAGCGCGCACGCCUCCUUCUAGCCGCGCGUUUCCUCUUCUUCCAGCAACGUGUUUUUUCUUCUAACCGCGAUUCACAAACCGACGUACACUCUAAUCUGUUUGCACGAUGGUUUUUGUUUAGAAUCGAUUGCCGCUGCCCCUAUUUUUACUGAGAUCCGUCGAAGUAUUGUUGGUAAGAUUGAAGUUAUGAAAUUGUAGUCGUUUUCAAAACAAUUUAAGUAUGGGUUGUGAUGUUUUCAAGGUGUUCAAACGUUACGGAUGGGUUAAUUGACUAAUUUGAUAAAUUAUUCUUGAAGGUGUGAAAGGUAACCUUGGAUCACUUAAAUUCACAACCAAUUUGUGAAUUUUGAUUUCGAUUUCGUUUGCCCUUAUUUGGAUUGUUUCGUGGACGAUAGUUGAUUAAGGGAGCUUCCCUAACUUUGAGGUAAGGGACUUUCUACUGGACUCACCUAAAGUUUUUGAGUUGUGUUGGACUGUAUGGAUGAUGAUUAAGAUGUACACGUUUGGUUGCAGACUAAAUGUUUAGUGUAUGUUGUAUUUGACUGGAAACAUAUAUAUAAAUACAUUGAUGUGUGAAUUGAUGUGGAUUGCCGAAAGUAUACAUGUGAAUGACUGAAAUUAUGCUUAUGUGUACAUGAUGAUAUUAAUAGAUUGUGCUGUAUAAAGAUUUGGAUGUGAACUAGUGAAUUUGUUUCGGUUGAAUGUGGAUUAUACUGAACUGUGGUUUGCGCUGGUAAAAAUGAGGGGUGUUGUGACUUUGUUGUUUACUUGACAGAUGUAUUAAAAUGUUAUCAACGACCUUCGAACUUAAGUGAGAUAGGUUGACUGUUAGAAUGUUGAGUGAAAGAACUUUAUAUUUUGAAGUAACUGAAAGAUGUCAUAAAUUACCGUAAAGAUGGUUAGAAUGGAUUGAGGGGAAAAAUUGUUAGUUUUAUUGGGAUGUAUGCCUUGUAGGUGUCCUACGGGAUCACCAAUUUUUAUGCGACCUUCGGAGCAUUAGACUGAUAUGUGUUUCUGCAGAACACUAGACUGAAAUGUACGUCCCUCGGGGCGUUAGACUGAAAUGUGCAUCCUACGGGAUCACAAGACUGCGACUGUACAGGGUGUCCCAAUAGAAUGUUAACAAUUUAUUUUCCCCUGACGGGACCAGUAGAGGGUCUCUUACUGGGUAUUUUUAUACUCACCCUCCUUAUGUUUAAUUUUUCAGGCAAAGGUAAUAAAGGCAGCAAACCGGCGAGGGGCAGGAAGGAAGCGUGACCGCCACAGGGGACACUUUAAAAUUUUGCUUCCGCUUAGUGAUUUAUAGUAUUAUUUGUAUUCGAACGUGAGACUGUUUAGAAAAUUUUGAAGUUUUAAAGUAUUCAAAGAUUUGAAACUUUUUAGUUUUAAAUUUUCAUGUGAAUUUUAGUAAUUUAAAACUGGGGCCCAAACAAACAAAAUAAAUUUUGUUCUUUUGAGGUUUUAAAUUUUAAUUAACCAAGGUCUUUUGUCAAAAGUUAAUGACCUCGACUUAGGUAAAAAGUUGGGUCGUUACAGAUAAGAAGCGAAAAAGUCUUUGCGUAAGUUAAGAAAUGAAAGUUUUGAGUGUUAGACUAGGAGUUUUGGGUGGUCUUCGCGAGAAGAACCAAGUGUUUCGUGGAGAAGAAGUCUACGAGGAAGCCUUGGAGUUUAAGUUCGUGAUAAGAGUUUUAUGCGAGUAAAAGUUGGUUAGUUCAGGUGGAACGUUUCUUAUAAUAAAAAUAUAAUCAAGCGAUAAGGUUAUUCACGAGAAAUGUUAAGUGGUUGAAUUUAUUCACGGUUUGGGUUAGGCGGGGAGCAAGGUUUGUAAAGAAAAUGUCAAAUCUGAUUUGACAUGGGUUAACAUGUAAGAUUAAGGAUUUGAGCAUGACUAGGUUAAAUAUUAAGGAUUUGCAUGACUAAGUUAGUAUAAGGGAUCUAUAAAAUAGGAGAAUUUAGGUAACUAAGGAGGGGAUGACGAGAGUUUUGUUGAAAUGUUAAAGUGUUGUUGGUUUAGCCACGCGAAAAGAUGGUUGUGAGAAGGACUUCUUUAGUGAAGUUUGGUGAGUGCUUUUCAGUCAAAAGAAUUUAUGUUAAGAAACUUUAUUACGAUUUCUCUUUACUGAUUUGAAAGAAGAAUUCAGAUGAGAAUGUUUCAGAAAGAUUUCUACGAAAAGUUAUGUUUUCAAGCAUUAUUUAUAAUAUUAAAGCUUGAUUUGAUGACUAUGAUUUCAAUACUAUGUUUCUUUGAGAUGAUGCUAACUUUUGUGUGCACAUAAAGAGUGAAGGCCACCAUGGAGUGUACAAACUACAUGGUAAUAAGAAGCUGACUUAUGCAUUGAAAUGAGCGUAUAAAGCUUAGCGGUAUAGCAACAAAGACGAAUUUGUAUGUUCUCAGAUGUUGAUACAGUAGUCUAAACGCGAGGUAAUGAGACCAAGCGUAGAGAACGAUUCGGGAUCCUUGACAAAAUGAAAUGAUUUUUUAAGCAUAAAGAAAGGUUUAUUCGAAAUGAAAUAAUUUUUCGGUAUAUUUAAAUGAUUUGAUAUUAUUUUUACAAAAUGAUUAUGAAAAGGUAUUGUGAAAGGUUUUCAUAAAACCUUAAAGGAUUUAAAAAAAAAGUGGACCAUUCAACUUAAUUCCCAUCCACUAUCCUCUUGUCCAACAUGAAACUUUAUCUUAGUAAAACUUCUUGAUCCACUAUUUUACAAAAAUAUUCAAAACAAUACCAUACUACACCAAAUGUGAUAUUUUGGUAACACUUAAAAUGGUCAGAAAUACCAUUUUCCUGACUUUUUUUUCAUCGACCAUUAAAGAAAAAGUAUAGAUGAUGUUUCACAAAAACUUCCAAACCAUUGUGUUAGUUAUCGUUUUGGAUGAGGGUUGGGGUAGAGCAUCAAUACUCAAAGGUUGUUAAGAAUUAAGACCUAAGACUUGAAAACGAAACCGCCUGCCUGGUUGACAACAACACCAUCCCACUAGAGUGCACAAUGAUGAUUUAUUGCAUUAAGAAGAAGAUGGCAGUUAACCUUAGCGCCAUAAUCAGAACCUCAAUCCUCCCUUUGAUGAAAGCACCUAAAGGUGUCAUGCCUUUCCCCUCUACCACAUUGAAGCUCUUUGUCUAACACUACAAGAAAUGAGGACUCUCUCGAUGCAUAAAAUCAUUGGGAGAUAUAUAAAAAGCGUCAGAAAAGGCUUUUCUGACGCACUAAUAUACGUCGGAACACAAGUGAGGAAAAUGUAUCGGGAGAGGAACUCCGAUGCACAAUGUUGUGCGUUGAGGGUUUCUAGACAUCUUCCGACGUUGUAUGAACGUCGAAGAUGUUGUCAAUAUAGCAUCGAGAGAUGUCUAGGAACCAUGCGUCGGGAGAUCCUCUAUUUUUUUUUAAAAAAAAUAACUUCAUUUAAUUCCUAAAUUCAAAUUGAAAAUUUUAAAUUCAAACUCAACUUCAACACUUCAACCUCAACUUCAACACUUCAAUCUCAACUUCAACACUUCAAAUUCAAAUUUCUAAAACCUACAACUAAUUCAAAAUUCUAACAACACUUGAAAUUAAAUUUCAUUACUAAAACUUACAACUAAUUCAAAAUCUAAAUACUAAAGAAAUCUAAAAUCUAACACCUAAAACAAAUUUGAAAUCUAAAUACUAAAACUAAUUAACUAAAACAAAACAAUAACUAAACUAAACCACUUACCGAUGGCGACGACGACGGGACGACAACAGGGACGACAAUGGUGAUGACAAUGCCCUCUUCUUCUCAAUCUUCCUCUCGGUCUCCCUCUCCCUCUCUCAUUUUCUUUCUCUUUAUGUUUCCUUUAUGUAAAGAAUGGAGUUAAAAAAGACAGAGAACUCCUGACGCACGACGAAAACGUCGGGAAUAGCACCCUAUUCAUGACCUGAUUUGUUAAACGUCAGAAAUCCCUAAACAUAUUCCCACGCGAUUAAUGAUACGUCGGGAAUCCCUAAAUCUAUUCUCAACGUUGCUGCCACACGUAAGAGGAAGGCGUUACAUACAAUUAAUGAUCUGCCCUUCCUCCGACGGUUCCUAAGCUUUUAGCUUUUCUGCAAUCACCCCUUAUGCAUGUUCUCAGGCGAAUCUCAACCAAACCAUAACACUCCAUCAAAAUAAAGAAGAAGAGAGACACCUCAAAACCUUAAAUAAAGUUAAGGGAGAAGAAUGGAAUGACAGAGAAGAAGAAGAGGCUUCUCCGCUGCCACCACUACUCAAGAGGAGAAAUGUCCACGAUGACGCGUCUAACUCGUAUAAAAAGGAAAAAAGUCGAAAGCUAGACGUGGCCAUCGACCCUAAACCUCUUGCAAUCUGACCCCUAACUCUCUCAUUGCCUCCUCCAAAAUCCAAAUCCUUCAAUUCCAGUCCUCAUCCAAAAAUUGAAACUCCCCCUCAUCAAUCUUACCCAAGUCCUCUCGCAUGUCUAUUAUCCUCUCACCACCAAAUCCCCCAUCAUUAUAACAACAUCCUUCACCUCACGACCUGACCGAACAAGCCCUUACCCGAUCAAAAGGGCAUUGUUAGCGAAGAAGAAUUCCUUAGGGUUGAGGAGGAAGACCUGCAUCACAUUCCUCUCCCUCCGCACACUACUAUACGUAAUUCCAAGGAGGAAGACUUACAUCUCGCGUGUAAACACCGAUACCCAAUAAUCCUUAAUUCAUCUAAAGAACUCAAUAGGACAUUAGGGGUUGAUGUUAGGAGAAAGAUGGUUUAAGAUUGGAUAGUUUAGUUGAAGUGUUAUGGAAGAUGUGUUAAUAUUUUUAAGAUGAUAAAAGAAAAGUGUCAUCGUAACAAAGAAAGGCCUAAAGGGUGUUCGAAAAUUGGCUAAGUGUUGGCUAGGGCAUGUUGCAUACUCUAGGCGGCCAAAAGUGUCAAGCGAACCUCUAAAGAGACAUGUUGGGUGGCCAAAGGUUGAGAUGUGGUAUGGCCGAAAGGUGUCAAGACAACCUCUAUAAGACAAGGCUAUAUGACCAAGGGUAUGCGCUAGGCAAGGAAGCUAAGCAUCUAGGAAAUGUCAAGAAACUCUAAAGAAGUUAGAACGUGGAUAAGGAAUGUCAUGCAACAAAGAGGUGGGCUAUGUGGACAUAGGUCAUGCGGCCAAUGGGGCAAUUCAACCAAAUGCUAGUCAAGAUGGCAUGGUUUGUUGAAGGCAUUGAGGGAUGUUUGGGAGAUUAGGCGAGAAAAAAAAGUCUUAGGCAUUCUUGGCAGUAAGAAUUUACUAAAGAACCCUCAUAGAAAAAGGGAUAUGCGUCCAAGGAUGACUUAAGCAAUAUGAGGUAAGAUGUGCGGUAGAGUACAAGUGGACAACAUACAAGAUACCUAAGUUUUGCCAAAUAAGUGUCUUGCAUGAGUUGGAAAGUGGCAAGUAUGGGCGUAAGAGGUGAGAAAAAAAGGUUCAACCAAAGAGCAUGCAAGGAUCACUAUAUGUACAACUUUGGACGAAUUAUGUUAACAAUCAACUUGUGUUAAUUGGGUAACUCUACUUCGAAAAUCUCCUAAAUUGAGUGUAGUAUCAAGAGAAAGGCUACCAAGAAGAAAGGCAUUGAAGUGAAGAAAGACUCAAAGGUCAUUUUCAAAAAAAAAAAAAAAAAAACUUGAACAAUGUAGAGUAUUUUGAGCUACAUAACUCAAUACUUGGAAUUUGUUAGUGACACUUUGUGGUAAGCUAGUGAAGACAUUCUAAGUAAGUUUGUAGAAGGAAUCUUAUUGAUUUAAGCUUCAAAGUCGAGUUAAGUUUCUGGUAGAAAAAUCAUAUUUCUAGACAAGGCCAUGGGUGGGUUGAUUGCCAGGAUGACAAGGUGAGAUGAGCGUGUGUUUUGAGCGAAAGAGGUUAUUUAGGCUUGGGACAUGCAAGAAGCAUGUCCUGGCAUGAUCAAGCAGCCUGAGCCACGCGUCAUUACACACUCUAUUAUGAAAGUUGAGUAUAUUGCUACUUGUGAAGCAGCAAAAGAAGCAGUUUUGGUGAGGAAGUUCUUGCAUAAUUUGGAAGUUGUUCCAAACAUGAACAUGCCCCAUCACUUUAUAUUGUGAUAAUAGUGGGGCAUAUUACUAAUCCAUUUACAAAGACUCUCAUGGCUAAAGUGUUCGAGGGUCUUCUAGAAAGUCUAGAUCUGCGAGUUAUGUACAUUAGGUAAUCUAGGAAAAGUGGCAGAUGUGUAAUGGGUAUGAGGAUGCCCUAGUUUAUUGUAUUUGUAUAUACACAUUUUAUGUAAUACACUUGUACAUUUUACCAUUUUCAAUGUUAGAGGAUUACUUUAUUAUGAACAUCCCAAAGAGACGAGAGUUUUAGUCCAAGUGGGAGUUUGUUGGAAUUUAUGUCCUAAAACUCGUAGAUUGUAAAUAUAAUCCAUUGACCAUUGUUAAUAAAGUGUUAUUAUUGUAAUAAUUGUUAUUGAUUAUAUUAUUAGUUUUGUCUUAAUAACUCAAAUCCAAUAAACUAACAUCCUAAACUGUUUAAUAAGUAUUGAAUAGUAUGUAGAGACAUACAGGGAUCAAUGUUCGAGAUCAGCUUAAAGGGUCUAUAGUAUACGGAUAAGACUGGGUACCUUUAUCCUGGUAACAUUAUGAAUACGACUCACUUUGUAUUUGAUACAAAUACAAUGAUCCAAUGUGUUCAUGUAGUUGACAUGCGAGUGAAGGUAUCCUAUGCAAUGAGAUUGCAAUAGACUAGACUGUGAAAUAGUAACCACUUGGUGUUACUACAUUAACUAGUUAGGUUUCUAUUUCACUAGGAUGACCUAGAUAACUUAGUCUUAAUCUUGAGUGUAUUAUGAACUCAAUGAUCUUGGAUGAAUUUGACUUCAAAUACAAACUUGGAUUCCACAACCUAAACCAAAAUAAAAUAAUAUAUCAUGUUAAGAUGGAUUCACAUAGCAACAUUUUAUCAAAUGGUUGCAAUGUUUCAAAUAAGCAACAAUUAAAAUUCACAUAUCGAUUUGGCAUCUAUAAAUAUACAAACUAAAAAGUACCUAAAUGUCAAUUAUUUACCCAAUAAGGCUAACUAAGUAACCAACGUCUAAUAUGUUUUGCAAUGAAAAAGGUUGCCAUAUUGUUAAUUUGGCCAUAUUGUGAAGGCAACCUCUUAGAUGUGUUUGUGAGAAAGGAAAGAAAUACCAAAAUAAGUAUGGACUAAGAUAGUAUCAAAUAAAGUUAAAGUUGAAUUUUAAAGCUCUAUUUUUUUCAAGAUAGAGAAAUUUCAGCUAAAGAGGAAAACACUAAGGACAACCAAGCAAAAAAGUCUAACAAAUAUCAAAAGAGAACAUGCAGGAAAGAAAGAAUGUAAAUAAGGUUUUAUCCGCACCAAGCAAAAAAGUCUAACAAGUAUCAAAAGCUUCAUAAGUUGUACUAGAAUUCAAAGCUCUAAACUCUAAAGAAUGUAAAUUUCUUUGAAGAAAUUUGUGUAUAAAGGUCACACAGUUGAAAAUUCAAUACCUUUUCAAGAAUGUUGUUGAGAAGAUUAUUGUGAUGAAUCUUUGAAUCCAAAUUAUGGAGACAAGAUAAAUAAAUGAGUUCUGAUUCUAACUGACUGAAUGAGAGUUUAGAAAAUAAGAACAUUGGAGUUGAAUUAUCAGCAUUUAUUUUAAUCAAACUUACGAUAGCAAACCAAAUUAUAGAGAGAGAUCAAAUGCUAGGAUAAAGGAAUAAUCUUACAUUUGGUGAGUUCCCAAAUGUUGUGGUAGUCACGAGAGUUAUUCCACUCGAAUUGUCUUAGACAAGAGGCUUCCAUUCAGCAAGUACUGGUGAGAAUUAAAGUGGAAUGACAAACUUAAAAACACCUAAUCUUUAACAAACUUUUCCGACUUUUUGCAAUUAUUUUUUAACACAAGAUAUCAAAACACACUUAAAAACCAUAACAACCAAUUACCAUAAAACGGUGUCCAAUAACAAUAAUUGGGUCAACCCAAACAUCAUCAAAUUCUUGGGAAAGGUUGUGGACUAGACCUUCACCAUCUUGCCCCUAAAACAAGUUAAAGCUUAAGGAAAGAACACAGUAGAAACAAAAAUCAUAAACUCAUCAGUUAGAUAGUAUUGGUGGUCAAAACCUCAAGGUCUCACUUCUUCCAUUUUAUAUUACCAAAUUUGAAAAUGAUUUUUAAUAUAUGAUCAUUACUUGAAACAUGUUGGUGUACAAGUGUGAAUGAAACUAAAUCAAGUUUGUGUUUUAUGUUAUUGUUUUUGACAGUAUAUUUAUGUGCUAUGCAAUCCAUGAGAGUAUAUUUAUGUGCUAUGCAAUCCAGAAGGGGGAAUGCAAGCUAUACCCAAUUCAUAAUUGUAUUUGGAACACUAAUGAUUUUAGCACAAAUUCCAUCUUUCCAUUCUCUAAGACAUAUAAACCUUAUCUCCCUCACUCUAUACCUUGGCUAUAGUGCUCUUGCAACAUAUUAAAAUUCUCGUAAUUAAAAAUUCAUACACAAUUUAAAUUAAAUUAAACAUCAAGACCCCUGACGAAGAUGAAUCUCUGUUCAUUUUUCUUUUUAUUAACAAACAAAAGUUUUUAGGUCAACUUCUUUCAACAACCUCCUCAAGGAUCCUUAAUUAUCUCUUUCCAAGUUCAUAACCACUCUAGUCAUGCAAAGAUUAAGGUUCAUGGCCAAUCAACAAUUAAUCUGUGAUUAAGAUAUUAUGAACGCUAUUCACAUAAAAACAUGAAAAGAUUAAGAGCAAAUAAUCAGAUGCAUUACAAAGAAUAAUUCAUAAACUUUGUCUACAUCUAUCCCUAGGAUUAAGAGUUUAGCUACCCCAUACUUCACAAUCUAAAACACAAAACUCAAUACAAUACCCAUAAAAAAAAUUAAAGGAGAAGAAAAAGAAAACGAAGAAGAAAAGCUAGUGAUUCGUAUUAUUAUAAUACUGUGUAUAACAGUAUGUGUUUUUUAAUAUUCUCUGUUUCCAGCUCCAAUGUACCAAAAUAUUAUCACAAACUCCACAAUCCUUCUCUUUCCAAUCCCUAAACUAACCAAUGAAUCAUAUUCGCACGCUUGGUAGCCUUGUUCAAAAUAUUAUAUAUUACAAUUAUAAUAACUUGUAUCCCCCCUUUUCAAGCCUAAAAUGCAAAACCUUUCUUCCAUUCUCUAAGGCAUAUUUCCUCUUCUUUAAUUUUGCAUUCCAAUUUUAAAUUACAAAUUACAAAUUUUAAUCACAAAGGAAAAAAGGAAAAUUAUUACCUUUAGAAAGGGAAGAAAAUAAAUGAGUAACCAUGAAGGAUUUGGAAACGAAUAGAGGUUUAGCGAAAGUGGAAUGCGACAGAAGGACGGUGAAUGUGUUUACUCGUUUUCGAACAGAGAAUGUGUUUACGCAUUCCGAACGGUGAACAGACGGACGCAAAUCAACGAAGGUGAAGGGAACGCAAAGCAGACGGACGGUGACGGACGAUGAACGCAAAUGAAUGAAGGUGAAUGCUUAUGAACGCGAAGGGAAGUCUUUUCCGGCGAUGAACGCAGAUGAAUGCACAGAUGAACGCGAAGGGAAGGUUAGGUGAACGACGCUUUUGAUUUCGGGUGGAGAAGGGACAAAGUCGCGGCGAAUUAGGUUUAAUUAAGAAAAGGGGAAGUGAUCUAAUUGAAACGUUGGGUUUUGUAAAAGAAUAUUAACACAAUAAUUUUUUAGAAAUUUCUUGACGUUUUUAAAACGUCAAAAACAAAUUAAAAUUUCUUGAACUUUUUAAAACAUCAAUGAUUUUUUAGAAUUAUCUUGACGUUUUAAAAACGUCAAGAAUUUUUUAUAAAUUUCUUGACGUUUUUAAAAAUGUCAAGAACUUUUUAGAAUUAUCUCGACAUUUUAAAAACGUUAAGAAUUUUUAUAAAUUUCUUGAUGUUUUUAAAACGUCGAGGAAAACUAUAUAUUAUUGACGUUUAAAAAACAUCAAGAAAGUUGAAUUCAUAAACAUUCUUGACGUUUUUUAAACGUCAAAAAUUAUUAGAUAUUUCUUGAUGUUUAAAAAACGUCAAGAAAAAGUACAUCUUACUUGACGUUUAAUUGCAUAAAAAACGUCAAGAAAAAACGUCAAGAAAGUUGAAAAUUGGCCUUUCAUAAAAAUUCUUGACGCUUUUUUAUUUGAAAUCACAUCUUUCUUGACGUUUUUGGGAAAAAACGUCAAGAAAGGAAAACUACAACCGUCAAGAGAGCCUGUUUUUGUAGUAGUGAUUUUGGGGACAAGACUGAGUGGGGAGUUGGGAUUAUAAUUGCACAAAAUGGAAUUCACUCAUUUCCUACUGUAGGAUAAGUAGAUGAAUGUUAGCUUAAAUGGUGUCUCCAAAACUUAAACAAAGGGCCCGUACUCUCUCUAUGACAUGAGAGGGGUUUUUGUUUAUUAGUAGGACCAUAAACAAGUUGUUCAUUAGAGGAGCACUAGUUUUUAAGGAUUAGAGGUAACAUAGGGGUAAAGCGGUAAAUUGAUCCAACUGGUGUUACAAACACUCGUGAAGGACUAACUUACUAUUAUUGGUCUAUAUCCGUGGACACAGAAAUAUAUUUUUAGUGAGAAGAGUUCAGUUGUGAGUCUUUAGUGGAGUGUACACACAACUAACGAAUAUUGAUUAAUGUGGUUAAUGAGUUUAGCCAAUUAAUCUUAGAUCGUUGUAGCUUCUGAUCUGUAGGUCCACUAGGUCCCUUUCCUAGCUCGUAAAGGGUAAUGAGAUUUAUUUGUAUUAGUUGUAAUUUAAAAUGUUUAAAUUUAACUUGGGAAUUAGUAUAAUGUAUAGUGAUACAUUAUAAUAUAAAGUUUAUCAAACUUUACUAUAUAAAUUUAACUUUGGGGAUGAUUUAAAAUUAAUUUAUGAGAGAUAAAAUAUUUGAAUGAGUUCAAAUAUUAAUUUAAUGUAAAUUGGAUUCAUAUUAAAAUUAUUGAGAGAAACUUAUAUUUGAAUAUGAUUCAAAAUUAAUUUAAGUUAAAUAUAAGAUAAAUAAUUUAAUGUUAUUAGUUAAUUGGAGAAUUAAUUAAUAGUUUAGUUUAAUAUUAUUUAAUUAAAUGUGAUUUCAUUAAUUAUUAACUAAUUGAUUAAUGUUUAAUUAAUCAGUAGAUUUGAAAUAUAUAUUAAUUUAAUUGUUUGUAAAUUAAUAGAAUCUCAUAGUUCUCUUCUACUUCAUUUUUUAUUCCUAGAAGGAAAGAGAGUUAUAAUAUCUAGAAGAAAACAAUUUUCUUAAAAAAUGAAUAUAAUAAAAAAAGAAAAAAUAAGGCUAACGCUAUUGCUCUUUGCAAAAAGAAAAGAGUUUCUCUCAAUAUCUCUAAACUUUUUCCCAUCCCAAUUGGUUCCACAAACCAAUCUUAUCACAGAGGUACUCUUUGCAAUUUAAGCUCUCUUUGCAAUGGACAGUCUUCAAAGUUUUUUUAACGAUGUUUCUAAUGCUUUCCUUUCUCUCUCAUGUUUAAUAAAACAAAUUUCUCUUAAAACCUGUAGGGAGGCUACAUCGUAUCGAAUUUCAUACAACUGACGUGUUCAUCGAGUUACAACAAGUGCCGCACAAUAGUCUGUUCCAUGUUUGAAAAGUUGUGAGUGUGACACGCUGCACAUGAGGUUAGAACGAGACAUGGCAAGGCAAGCUCUACGCGCACCUGCCAACUUCUGCCACAAUAUUUUGUACGCAAGCUAAUGUCUUUGGGCUGUUUUUAUGGUAUUUGGAAAUUUUAAGCAAAGUUUUGAUAUUUUUAUGAUCAACAGGAAUUAAAUGGAAUUAUUUCCCAUUAUUUUCAUUAUUUUAGAUCAGAAGGAGAUCGAACAAAUUUAUAAGCCAAGGGUCCAAGCUACUCUCUAUAAGUGACAAAAAUGAGUUUAAAGUUGAUUUCUAAACAUGAAUUUACUAUCAAAUGUUUCAAGCAUGCUUUGAUGUUUGAAUAUUUGAGGAUACUGACUUAUAAAGUAUUUCCAAAGCAUGAAUUUAGAAACAUUUUGGUAAUGAAAAUUAUAAGCAAUCAUGAUUGUGCUAAGUUAUCAAAAUGUUUAAGCUUGAAAAUAAUAUUAGCAUGUUUUAGUCUAUACCUAAAAUAUUCUAAGAUAUAUAGCAACCCUUCGGGAGAGAUUUUCUUGUGCAUAGAGGUCAUUUGAUUUGGAUAUUCAGUAAAUACCUAGCUUUCCAUCAUUGGUAUUAGAUAAGAGAUGAAGACUUCUAAAGAUGCUUAGUUUCCCAUCUCAAGGGACGAGACCCUGUACGAAUGCCUAGUUUCCAUCUCAUUGUAGUUAUAACGAGAUAGGGCACAAUUGAUGCCUAGAGUUUCAUCUCGUAAGUAUCGUAUCACGGGAUAGGGCUUCUAUGCCUAGUUUAUUGUUUUUCGUCUUGACGAUUCUAGUAUAGCAACUGAAAGGGAAAGUUUGAGAUAAGUUGUUUGAGUUUGAUUUCAUUUAUGUUAAGAGUUAAUUGUUAAAUACUUAUUAUUUCAAACAAUGUUUUAUAAAACAAUCACUCAUUGGGCUAUUUAGCUCACUCUUUGGAUAAAUAUCCCCAUAUGGAUUACGUUGUUUGGAAAAUUAAACUGUCUUUAGUACUUCAAAGAAAACUUCCCUCCCAUGUCCUCUCACCUCAUGUCAUCCCAUUUGUGUUGAUAACAUGAAAAAUAUUUAGCACCUUUUAAUUGAUUAUGUCUUUGUAUCGAAAUGUUGGUUCCGUCUUCUCCAAACAUUCAAUAUUUGUUGGGAUUUUUUGCUCAAUCAAGGCUUAUUCUUGUUUGUUCUCGACCUGCUACCUAUGAUUUAUGAUUUUGUUUUGGACAUAUUAUUUUAUCAUUUUGUUUGGUUUUAUAUUUGUGGCUUUUUUUUUGUUUUGUUUUGUGUUUUGUUUUUUUUUUUUUUUGAAAAGGAGACAACCUCUUUAUUAAUAUUAAAAUAAUAAAAUAAUUAGACAAAAGCUCAUGGUACAAGAGAGUUAUACAAUGAACAUGUAACCAUGGAUCAGAGGGUGCACCUUGGCAUCUCAACUAGGUUGACACCCCCAUAGCACCCUCAUCAUAUCCAACCAAGCUAAAACCCAUAACAAAGGAGUAAUGUCCAAAGGCAAAACAAACACAAAAAAAGCCUUCUAUUUGUGGCUUUUGUUUUGAUCUUGUGUUGUCGCUUUUUGGAUGUGAUGAGGGCGCUAAGGGGGUGUCAACACUCAAACCUUAUGACGUAACAAAUGCAAAUUUUAUGACGUUUUUAGGGGUAGUCCCUCCCAUUACUAGCUCAACACUCAAACGGAGUCUCCUGUAUAAAAUAUAAAAUAAUACAGACACAAAUAGUGAAUGAAAUCUUAUGACGUAACAAAUGCAAAUUUUAUGUAUACUGCAAUUGACUAAAUAUUGAACAAGAAAGCCCAAGGGAAUACAAAAAAAUCCAACGUUUUUAGGGGUCAAUUUGAAAAAUGGCAAAAUUACUUUUUCUUUUCAAUUUUAGCAAACAACAUUUUUUGCACGUGCAUGGUAUUUUAUAAAAUACCAGAAUAUCAACAUUCUUCAACUGUAGUUAUUUCGUUUCUACAUUGUAAUUAAUUUAUGUUAUGCAUUUAUCAGUUUUUAAUUAUCUUUUACUUGAAAUAGAUACAUCAACUCAUAUCAUAAUAUUUUUCUUAAUAUCUCGAGUCUCAACUAAUUAAUUCACAUAUUAAUAACUUUAUUCAAUCAUACUAAUUUCAAAAUAACCUAAUUGAAUUUGAAUUUCAAAAUAACAAAAUUAUUAUUUUUCGGAAUUUGAGAGUCUCAACGAUAGAUUUUGUAUUAAAAUAACCUUAAUUGAAUUUCAAAAAUAAAAAAUAUCAACAUGUUCACUAUCUUUAUCUCAAAAUAACAUUAAUGCCUUGAAUAUCAAGAUAAUUAAAUUAUUAUUUAAAAUUGGAAGAAACUCAACAUUAAAAAAUAUUAACUUGUUCGCACACAAGCAUAGAAGCACUGCGCACACACGUACACAUGCACACUUACACACACGCGCACACACGCACAUCUACACACAGACACCCACAGACACACGAACGCAUGCACAUACACAUGCACACGCGCACGCAUGCACAUACACAUGCACACGAGCACGCAUGCACACGCACACACCUAUCCACACGCGCGCACAAGCACACACACAUGCACAAACGCACACACGCGUACGCACAAACGCACACACUUAUACACAUACGCACACGCGCACAAACACGCACGCACGAGCACACACACACCUAAGCACACACGCAAUAGCCUGCGCACACACACGCACGCACAAACACAUACAAACAUGCACACACCCACACAUAUAUGCACACGGACACUCGCAACAAACGCACGCACAUACACAUACGCACACCUACCUACACGCACACACGUACACACGCACAUAUGCAUAAAGAUGUAUAAAUGAGUUAAAAUUAAAAAAAAACUACAUUAAUUGUGUUUAGAAGGACUUUUAAACCAUGUUCAUUUGACUUAAUAACAUUAAUUAAACUAUAAUUUCUAUCAAUAUUGGCUUAAAAAGUGUCAUUCGUGUAAUUAUUUCAAUAUAAUGCGAUUUUAUCCAAUUCUAUUUGCAACAAACAGGUCGAAUAUGAACCAGUAGAUAUACAUGUCAUAAGAGAUAUAGGAACAUUUUUAUGGUCAUUUUGAAAAAUGCAAAACUUUUUGUAACGACCCAACUUUUCUAGGUAAGUCGAGGUCAUUAAUUUUUAAUAAAAGACUUUGUUGAUACAAAAUGAAGCGUAAGUCAAUUUAAAAAAAAAUAUGUCAGGCCUGAUUUUCAAAUAUCAAGAAAACUUAAAAAUAACACUAUUUACAAAUAAAAGUUUGUAAACUAAGUUUUUAGUACAUCUUAAACCUUAAAAGAAACAUAAGCGGAAGCAAAAUACACAUUUCCUAUGGCAAUCACGCUUCCUUCCUGCCCCUCGCCGGUUUGCCACCUUUAUUUCCUUUGCCUGAAAAUUAAACAUAAGAAGGGUGAGUAUUUUAAAUACUCAGUAAGAGACCCUAUACUGGUCUCGUCAGGGAAAAUAAAUUGUUAAAGUUCUAUUGGGACACCCUGUACAGUCGCAGUCUUGUGAUCCCGUAGGAUACACAUUCAGUCUAACGCCCCGAAGGACGUACAUAUCAGUCUGACGCCCCGAGGGACGUACAUAUCAGUCUAACGCCCCGAGGGACGUACAUAUCAGUCUAACGCCCCGAGGGACGUACAUAUCAGUCAAGUGUUCUGCAGAAACACAUAUCAGUCAAAUACUCCCGAAGGUGCAAAAUAAAUUGGUGAUCCCGUGGGACACCUACAAGGUAAACAUCCCAAUACAACCUAACAAUUUAUCCCCUCAUUCCAUUCAACCCAUCUUUCAGUUACUUCAAAUCACAAAGUCCUUUCUUUCAACAUCCUAACAGUCAACUUAUUUUACUACAGUCAUAUGUCUGUCAAUAAUAUGCUAAUACAUCAGUCAAUCACUAUACAGUCAAGUCAAUACACCCCUCAGUUCACCAGCACAAACCACAGUUCAGUAUAAUCCACAUCCAACUGAAACAAAUUCACUAGUUCACAUCCAAUCUUUAUACAGCACAAUCUAUUAAUAUCAUCAUGUACACAGAAGCAUAAUUUCAGUCAUUCACAUGUAUACUUUCGGCAAUCCACAUCAAUUCACACAUCAAUGUAUAUAUAUAUGUUUCCAGUCAAAUACAACAUACACUAAACAUUUAGUCUGCAAUCAAACAUGUACAUCUUAAUCAUCAUCCAUACAGUCCAACACAACUCAAAAACUUUAGGUAAGUCCAGUAGAAAAUCCCUUACCUCACUUUUAUGCAAGUUCUUCAAUCUACUAAAUCCAAUGAAUCAAAUCCUAAACAUAAUCAAUCAUAAAAUCAACAUCUUUCUAAAUAGUUUCAACCAUUCAAAUUACCCCAUAUGUAAAUUCCACAACUUACCCAAGAAGUGGAAAAUCAAGUCCACUUCAACCUUUUGGAAAAUCAAGGAUUCGCUCACUGAAUCAAGAUGUACCUUCAAGAAUUAAGCAUUUCGCCAACAAUUAAAUCCAAUGGCAGCAUCCAACAAAAACCAAGAAACCAACAAAAACCAUAACUUGUUCUUACCCAAAUAUGAGCCCAAUGGUUCACGGCGAGGCAGAUCUGGACGACGAUUUGCUUUGCGAGGGAGGCACGACGGUUGUGAGCGAGAGGCACGACGGUUACAGGCGGAUGGGCGCGACGGUUUAGAUCUGAAGAAGAAAAGAGAGGGUGGCGGUUGGGUUCGGCGAGCGGCGGCGGUUUUGCUUCGCGAACGGAGAUGGAGACGGCAAUUCGGCGCGCGGGACGACUGCAACGCAAAUCUGGACUGGCAGCGGCACGGUCUUGCUUCGCGGCUGGGUAUGGUGAAAAAGAAAGAGAAACGGAAGAAGAGAAGUCUCGGGUGGCGGUUGCUGGGCUACGGCGGUUGCUGGGCUGCGGCGGAAGGAGAAAAUGGAAGGAAGAGAUCGGCGGAAAGAAGGAGAAGAUGGAUGGGAGUCACGAUCGCACGGGAAGAAGAAGGGAGAAAAGAAAAGAAAAGAAAAGAAGAAAAGAAAAAUAAUAAAGAAAUUUUUAAUAUAAAGUAAAAUAAAAAUAUAUAUAUAUAUAUAUAUAUAUAUAUUACCUUUUUGGGCAUUACAUUCUUCCCUCCUUAAGAAACUUUCGUCCUCGAAAGUUCUAAUCCUGAAAUAACUCUGGAUAACGAGUCCUCAUUUCUUCCUCUCGCUCCCAUGUCGCCUCUUCAAUUCGAUGAUUCCGCCACAAAACCUUUACUAAUGGAAUGCUUCUAUUACGAAGCAUCUUUACCUCUCUAGCCAAAAUCUCCACAGGUUGUUCAACAUAGCUCAAAUGCUCGUCAAUCUCCAAGGUUCAUAGUCCACUACAUGAGAUGUAUCGGCCACAUACUUCCUCAACAUCGAAACAUGGAAAACAUUAUGAACUGCAGAGAGAGAUGGUGGUAAUGCCAAGCGAUACGCCACAACACCAACCCUCUCUAAGAUCUCAAAUGGUCCAACAAAACGAGGACUUAACUUUCCCUUCUCAAAACGCAUAACACCCUUCAUAGGUGCUACCUUCAAGAAUACCUUUUCUCCCACAUCGAACUUAAGGUCUUUUCGCCGUACAUCUGCAUAACUCUUCUGUCUACUCUGCGCUGUUUGCAUACGCGUCCUAAUCGUUUGAAUAGCCUCAUUAGUAGACCGAACUAAUUCAGGUCCCAUCAAUCUAUGUUCACCAACCUCACUCCAACAAACAGGGGUUCUACAACAUUUGCCAUACAAAGCCUCAAAUGGUGCCAUACCGAUGGUAGCCUGGAAACUGUUGUUAUAAGCAAACUCCAUCAAAUGUAGAUGAGAGUCCCAACUACCUGGAAACUCUAUAACACAAGCUCGUAGCAUAUCCUCUAAAACUUGGUUCAAACGUUCAGUUUGACCAUCAGUCUGUGGAUGAAAGGCUGUACUGAAAUCCAAUCUCGUACCCAUAGCAGUCUGAAGUCCCUUCCAAAACUUGGAAGUAAACCGUGCAUCCCUAUCAGAAACAAUCGAUACAGGCACUCCAUGCAGUCUCACAAUCUCAGUUAAAUACAACUCUGCCCACUUACUAGCAGUAUAAGUGGAUUUUCCUGGUACAAAAUGUGCCGAUUUCGUAAGCCUGUCUAUGACAACCAGAAUCACUGUGAAACCCUUCAGGGUCUUAGGCAGCCCUGAAAUAAAAUCCAUCGACACAUUCUCCCACUUCCACUCUGGCACACUUAAGGUUGUAAUAAACCUGCUGGUUUCUGUCUAGGUGCCUUAACUUGCUGACAUACUAGACACUUACUAACAAAUUCCGCCACUUCCCUUUUCAUAUUCCGCCACCAAUAAAAUCGUUUUAGAUCCUGAUACAUUUUCGUGCUACCAGGAUGCAUGGAAAAUGGGGAAUUAUGGGCUUCAUCUAGUAAGUCAAUCUUAACUGUACUGUUCGCUGGCACACAUAAACGUCUCUCAAACAUCAACCCACCAUCAGAGGAUAUGGAGAACUCAUCAGUCUGCCCUGUUUCAACAAGGCGACGUCUCUCCAUCAAAUAAGGAUCAUUACUCUGAGCAUCAACAAUCUUGUGCCUCAGAGUCGGUUGCACCGUUAAUUGAGCUAGCUGUGAGGUGACUCUCCCCACAGACACUGCAAUCUCAGCUCUCUCCAAGUCUCGAUGCAAUGGUACCUGUCUAGUAAUGAGUGCUGCCGAAUGUGAUACUUUUCUACUAAGAGCAUCAGCCACCACAUUCGCCUUACCAGGAUGGUAUAAUAUCUCACAGUCAUAAUCUUUUACCAACUCGAGCCACCUUCGCUGUCUCAUAUUCAACUCCUUCUGAGUGAAGAAGUACUUUAGGCUCUUAUGGUCAGUAAAGAUUUGUAUCUUUUCACCGUACAAGUAAUGUCUCCAUAUCUUCAAUGCAAAAACCACUGCUGCCAACUCCAAAUCAUGUGUGGGGUAGUUCUGCUCGUGACUCUUCAACUGACGAGAGGCAUAAGCAACCACCUUACCUUUCUGCAUCAAAACACAACCCAGUCCUUUCUUGGAAGCAUCACUGUAAAUCACAAAACUUCCAGAUCCAUCUGGUACAGUAAGGACCGGUGCAGUAACUAACCUUUGCUUUAAGUUCUGAAAACUAUCCUCACAAGCUGGACUCCAAACAAACGGAGUUCCCUUCCUUGUCAACUGAGUCAAAGGAGUAGCCAAACGUGAAAAAUCCUCCACAAACCUCCGGUAAUACCCUGCUAAACCCAGAAAACUACGAACCUCACUAACUGUGAGGGUCGAGACCAACUGGUAACCGCUUCUAUCUUUGCAGGGUCUACUGAAACUCCCUCACUGGAAACCACAUGACCAAGAAAAGCCACCUGCUUCAACCAAAAUUCGCACUUAGAACUUAGCAUACAGUUUAUUGACUCGAAGAGUCUCUAACACCUUAUGUAAGUGUUCCUCAUGUUCGGCUUCAGUCUUGGAAUAAACCAAAAUAUCAUCAAUGAAGACUAUCACAAAAGUGUCCAAGAAAUCCUUAAACACCCUGUUCAUCAAAUCCAUAAAUACAGCAGGUGCAUUAGUCAAACCAAAAGACAUUACUAUGAAUUCAUAAUGUCCAUACCUCGAACGAAAAGCAGUCUUAGGAAUAUCACGGUCUCUAAUCCUCAACUGGUGAUAACCUGACCGUAAGUCAAUCUUAGAGAACACCGUGGCUCCCUGUAACUGAUCGAACAAAUCAUCGAUUCUGGGUAAAGGAUACCUGUUCUUGACUGUUACUUUAUUCAACUCUCUAUAGUCAAUGCAAAGACGCAUCGACCCAUCCUUCUUCUUCACAAACAAUACUGGUGCACCCCAAGGUGACACACUAGGUCGAAUAAAGCCUUUGUCAAGCAAUUCCUGUAACUGUACCUUCAGUUCUUUCAACUCAGCAGGAGCCAUCCUAUAAGGGGCUCUAGAAAUAGGAGUAGUGUUUGGCUCCAACUCAAUGGCAAAAUCAAUCUCUAUGUGGCGCAGUCCUGGAAGAUCUUUUGGAAAUACAUCUGGGUAUUCUCUUACCACAGGUUCUGAAGUUAAAGAAGUCUCACCUUCCCUAGUAUCCACCACACUUGCCAAAAUACUCCAAGUACCCUGGCUGAGUAGUUUACUAGCUUUCAUAGCUGAGAUUACUUUAGGCAGUACUACUGUUCCUACUCCCUUGAAUUUAAAGCUAGAUGCAGUAGGGGGACUAAACACAACUUCCUUACGAGAACAAUCAAUACUAGCAUGAUUAGUAGCUAGCCAAUCCAUACCUAAAAUUACAUCAAAGUCACGCAUAUCUAAUACCAACAAGGUUACGUCCAGCACACGACCAGCUAUCUCAAUUUCACAUGCUUUAAUCUUUUCCUUAGACAACAUAAUUUCUCCAGACGGUGUAGACACUGACAAAACAUAGUCUAAGGGUUCCACCUCUAAGCAUGCAUGCGUCACAAAAAGCGAUGAAAUAAAUGAAUGAGAAGAUCCCGAGUCAAACAAGGUCAAGGCAAAAUGCCCUAAUACUGGUAAUGUACCUGUCACUACUGUGCCGGCCUUCUCUGCCUCUGAUCUAUUAGUGGCAAAGAUUGUACCCCGCUGUGGAGGUCUCUCUCCCUGACUGCUCGAUCCAGCCCCAGUAGAUCUCAAGGGACACCUAUCAGCCAUGUGUCCCUCUUGCUUGCACUUAUAACAGACUCUCGUUCCCAUCAAACAACGACCCAGGUGGCGUUUCCCACACGUAUUACAUACUGGCCUCUCUUGAGUAGUGUCUCCUGCACCGCCAGAACUCUGCUGGAAACUGCGAAAAGAAUCACCUGGUCUCAUGUUCCUCUGAGGAACUCCUACAGUUCUCUGCUCUACUUUUCUCUUUUGACCGACGACGAUCCCUUAUUAAAGCUCCUUGGCUGUCUUUCAUCCUUCCCAAUACUCAUAUCCACUGCCAGACGCAGUGCUUCAGCUUGGGUAGUGGGCUUUAGUGCUCGCACAAAACCCCUAAUUUCAUCUCUCAAUCCCUUGACGAACCUAUCAGCUCUAGCCUGCUCAUUACUAACAAGCUCAGGGGCAAAACGUGACAGCAUAUCAAACUCCUGGUCGUACUCCUCGACUGUCAUAUAUCCUUGCUUCAACUCCAAGAAUUCCUGGCUUUUGGCGUCUCUAAGGUUAGCCGAGAAAAACUUGGUAUAGAAGCAGUUCUUAAACUGAUCCCAGGUAAUUUGCCUCACAUCUCCACCUAGCAUGCGCAUUGUAGUCCUCCACCAGAUAAUGCCUCUGUCCCUCAGUAGAAAAGCAGCACACUGAACUCUGUGCUCCUCGGACAUCUCAUGUAAUUAAAUAUGGUUUCCACAGAGGACAACCACAUUUCAGCUUUAGUAGGAUCCUCCAGUGACCCAUCAAACGUCUGAGGGUCAUACUUCCGAAAGUCCCUCAAAUGUUUCGCCUCAGCAGAAAGUUGGUUAGGUAAUUCUUGUGCAGGAGGGGCUGCUGGUGCAGGGGAACUACAGGUGCAGGUGGAACCAGGUGCCUGCUGGUUUUGAGCUAUAGCUGUCAUAAGUUCUGUAAACCUCUGCUCCAUGUGAGCAGACAGUGCAUCAAACUCAACGUGAGUCACGGGUGCAGCAGGAAUUCGCUGUUCAGCUUGACCCUCAGUAGGCUGAUUACGACCUGCUCCUCUACCUCGGCCUCCUGCUCUCUACGACCUCCUCUACGUACUUCUUCCCUUGGCGGCAUAAUUCCUAUUACCACCAACAACACUCUUUAACAAAAUCUUAAUCAUAAACAUAAGCAAGUCUUUAUCGUCAUGCAAUCUAGUUUAAUUUAGGCAAGGUCAUGCAAAUAAACCAUACAUAUAAGCAUCAAGCAUACCUGACGAGAGACGAAGGGUCGCGUUAGCCAUAGGAACACAAAAACAUAGACUUACAUCGUAAGUCAGUCUACAGAACCUAAAACUUAGGCUCUGAUACCAACUGUAACGACCCAACUUUUCUAGGUAAGUCGAGGUCAUUAAUUUUUAAUAAAAGACUUUAUUGAUACAAAAUGAAACGUAAGUCAAUUUAAAACAAUCUAUGUCAGGCCUGAUUUUCAAAUAUUCAAGAAAACUUAAAAAUAACACUAUUUACAAAUAAAAGUUUGUAAACUAAGUUUUAGUACAUCUUAAACCUUAAAAGAAACCAUAAGCGGAAGCAAAAUGACACAGUUCCUAUGGAAUCACGCUUCCUUCCUCCCCCUCGCCGGUUUGCCACCUUUAUUUCCUUUGCCUGAAAAUUAAACAUAAGAAGGGUGAGUAUAACAAUACUCAGUAAGAGACCCUUACUGUCUCCGUCAGGGAAAAAUAAUUGUUAAAGUUCUAUUGGGACACCCUGUACAGUCGCAGUCUUGUGAUCGCGUAGGAUACACAUUUCAGUCUAACGCCCCGAAGGACGUACAUAUCAGUCUAACGCCCCGAGGGACGUACAUAUCAGUCUAACGCCCCGAGGACGUACAUAUCAGUCUAACGCCCGAGGGACGUUCAUAUCAGUCUAGUGUUCUGCAGAAACACAUAUCAGUCAAAUGCUCCCGAAGGUGCAAAAUAAAUUGGUGAUCCUGGGACACCUACAAGGUAAACAUCCCAAUACACAACCUAACAAUUUAUCCCUCAUUCCAUUCAACCCAUCUUUCAGUUACUUCAAAUCACAAAGUCCUUUCUUCAACAUCCUAACAGUCAACUUAUUUUACUACAAUCAUAUGUCUGUCAAUAAUAUGCUAAUACAUCAGUCAAUUCACUAUACAGUCAAGUCAAUACACCCCUCAGUUCACCAGCACAAACCACAGUUCAGUAUAAUCCACAUCCACACCGAACAAAUUCACUAGUUCACAUCCAAUCUUUAUACAGCACAAUCUAUUAAUAUCAUCAUGUACACUAAGCAUAAUUUCAGUCAUUCACAUGUAUACUUUCGCAAUCCACAUCAAUUCACACAUCAAUGUAUAUAUAUAUGUUUCCAGUCAAAUACAACAUACACUAAACAUUUAGUCUGCAAUCAAACAUGUACAUCUUAAUCAUCAUCCAUACAGUCCAACACAACUCAAAAACUUUAGGUGAGUCCAGUAGAAAAUCCCUUACCUCACUUUUAUGCAGUUCUUCAAUCUACUAAAUCCAAUGAAUCAAAUCCUAACAUAAUCAAUCAUAAAAUCAACAUCUUCUAAAUAGUUUCAACCAUUCAAAUUACCCCAUAUGUAAAUUCACAACUUACCCAAGAAGUGAGAGAAUCAAGUCCACUUCAACCUUUUGGAAAAUCAAGGAUUCGCUCACUGAAUCAAGAUGUACCUUCAAGAAUUAAGCAUUUCGCCAACAAUUAAAUCCAAUGGCAGCAUCCAACAAAAACCAAGAAACCAACAAAAACCAUAACUUGUUCUUACCCAAAUAUGAGCCCAAUGGUUCACGACGAGGCAGAUCUGGACGACGAUUUGCUUUCCGAGGAGGCACGACGGUUGUGAGCGAAGAGGCACGGCAGUUACAGGCAGAUGGCGCGCGACGGUUUAGAUCUGAAGAAGAAAGAGAGGGUGGCAGUUGGGUUCGGCGAGCGGCGGCGGUUUUGCUUCGCGAACGGAGAUGGAGACGGCAGUUCGGCGCGCGGGACGAUGCAACGCAAAUCUGGACUGGCAGCGGCACGGUCUUGCUUCGCGGCUGGGUAUGGUGAAAAAGAAAGAGAAACGGAAGAAGAGAAGUCUCGGUGCGGUUGCUGGGCUACGGGCGGUUGCUGGGCUGCGGCGGAAGGAGAAAAUGGAAGGAAGAGAUCGGCGGAAAGAAGGAGAAGAUGGAUGGAGUCAGAUCGCACGGGGAAGAAGAAGGGAGAAAGAAAAGAAAAAGAAAAAGAAGAAAAAAAAAUAAUAAAGAAAUUUUAAUACUAAAGUAAAAUAAAAAUAUAUAUAUAUAAUAUAUAAUAUAUAUAUAUAUAUUUACCUUUCUUUGGGCAUUACAUUUUUUUUUUAAUUUUAGCAAAUAACAUUUUUUGCACGUGCAUAAUAUUUAUAAAAUACCAAAAUAUCCACAUUCUCCAACUAAAAUUAUUUUGUUUCUAUGUUGUAAUUAAUUUAUAUUAUGCAUUUAUCAACUUUUAAUUAUUUUUUACCUGAAAAAAGAUACAUAAACUCAUAUAUAUACUUUUUUCUUAAUAUCUCGGGACUCAACUAAUGGAUUCAAGACUUUAACUUUAUUUAAUCUUACUAAUUUCAAAAUAACCUAAUUGAAUUUGAAUUUCAAAAUAACCAAAUUGAAUUUCAACAUAACAAAAUUAUUAUUUUUCAAAUUUGAUAAUCUCAGAAAUAGAUUUUGUAUCAAAAUAACUUUAAUUGAAUUUCAAAAUUAAAAAAUAUCAACUUAUUCACUCUUUAUCUCACAAUAAUAUUAAUGGCUUGAAUAUCAAGAUAAUUAAAUUAUUGUUUUUAAAAUUGGGAGAAACUCAACAUUAAAAAAUAUCAACUUAUUCACACACAAUCACACGCGCACACACAUACAUACACUUGCACGCACGUGCACCCAUACACGCACACACACACGCGUGCACACACACACACACACACAAACGCACACAUGCACACGCACACCAAACCGCACGCACACAAAUACACACACACACGCACACUAAUGGUUCAAUUUCAUCGAUUGUUCCUAUUUUUCUGACAGUUUAUUUUUGCCAUCGAUAGAGGAUCUUCCGACAGACCUGCGUGACGGUGUGUGUUGACAGCUUAAUUUCGUUGGCAAAAGAAAAGUCGAUUAGUUUUUGAAGAUUUACUGACGAUAUUUGUCAUCGACAAAGGGUAAAUUUCUUGUAGUGCAUGUACAUCAAACAUAUCAAAUUUGUUAAGUGUACCAAUGAAGUAUAAGAAGUUUAUUAGUGGUGUAUCAAGCGUAUCAAACUUAUAAGUGAAGUCUUUAAGUGUAUCAAACUAAUCAAGUGUAUCAAGGUCUCAGGGUAUCAAGUGUAUCAAGAAGAAUCAAGUGUAACGAGAAGUAUUAUGUGGAACGAGAAGUAUUAUGUGUAUGAAGAUGUUUCAGGUGUGUAUCAAAAAGUAUCGAGUGUAUCAAUGAGUACCGAGUGCAUGAAUUGUAUCUAUCAAAUGUAUCAAGUGUAUCAGUAAGAAAUAUCAAGUGUAUCAAGCGGUAUUAGGUGUAUCAGACGUGUAUAAGGUGUAUCAAAUGUACAUCAAUAACGAGGGCAUUUGUGACAUUUUACCUCUUGAUGUGUGAGUUGGUCUUUGUUUUUGUCAUUUUCUCAAAUAAUAAAGUAUGUGUUCUAUGAACUUAAUUAUUAUAACUUACACUACUACAAAAACAGGCUCUCUUGACGUUUGCAGUUUUCCUUUCUUGACGUUUUUUUCAAAAAACGUCAAGAAAGAUUUCAUUUUUAAUAAAAAACGUCAAGAAAUUUUUUGAAACAUCAUUCUUGACGUUUAUUAAAUGUCAAGUAAAAUAAAUUUUUCUUUGACGUUUUUAAAACAUCAAGAAAUAUCUAUUAAUUUUUUGACGUUUUAAAACGUCAAGAAGCGUAUGAAUUCGACAUGCUUGACGUUUCUUAAACGUCAAGAAUUUAAAAUUUUACUCGACGUUUUAAAAACGUCAAGAAAUUCAUAAAAUAUUCAAGAAUAUUUUUUAAAUUACACUGAGAAGGUAUCGAAUUUUAAUUUUCAGCUCUAACAUUUUUCCUAAUCUACUUUUUUCUUCUUCACGACUGAGUAUUCGAGGGAGUCAUUUUUUGAAUUUGUUGACAUUUUUUAAACGUUAAGUAAGAUCAUUUUUUUUUUUACAUUUUAAAAAUGUCAAGUGUUAUUAAAUAAAUAUAAAAAAUAUAUUGGGCUAAUUUUAUUUCUUUAAAAUCUCUUUAAAUAUAUAGAUACAAUAAUAAAAAUCUCUUUAAAUAUAUAGAUACAACAAUAAAAAUUUCUUUAAAUAUAUAUAGAAAAAAAAUAUUGUACUAAUAUUAUUCAGAAUCACUUUAAAUAUAUAUAGAAAAAAUUAUUGUGCAAAUAUUAUUUUUUAAAAAGCCCUAGCCCCUUUCUACUCAAAACACGCGUGUUCCCCUUUCCCUCUCCAGCCGAAAUCCUUCCCAUUCGAAAAAAGUGUGUUCAGCAGUCGUCGUUCGCUUUCAACGCCUAUCCGUUCGCCUUCAACGUCUGUCCGUUCGAUUUCACCGUCGAGUUCCACCUCUUCGAAUCCCUCACGUCCGUCGUUUCAAAGUCCUUCGUCCGCUGCAUUCCAUCUUUCCAAAAUCCCUCAGUGCCUCACGCUACUGCGUGCCCGUCAUUUCGACUUCACCAACGAGUGCCUCACGUUCGUUGCUUCAAAAUCCAUCAUCCACUAAGUUGAGGUUAGGCUUUUAUUUCCCUAAAACAUAUAACAAUUUCAUUAUUCUUCAUUAUAUAAACUCAGAUGGCAUGAUUGGCAAUAAUAGAUAGGAAGGAUGGAGGUGUAAACUUCGAAUUGAUUGAAAUUCGUAUACUUUUAUUCAAUCUUUAAAGUACUGUAGUUUUUCUUCACCAUCAAAUUUUAUUAGGAUUUAAAGAAAACAAAUGAAUGUAUGAACAAAUUUUUGGGAGUGCAUGUCAUAUAAUCAACUUCCCUCUUUCAGUAAUUUUGAAGAUCUCAUAUAACAAUACUACUAAUUGAGAGCUUUGGAGGAUGAGUCAAUUCUUCUCCCUUCGUGAAAAGAAAAAGAAAAAAAGAUCAUGUAUUCUCUUUGUUUGUUACCUUAUGUUGUCCAAGGUUUUGCCUUCUUCCUUAAUAAUUUGGAGGUGUUUUAACUAAUUUUUUCAUUCACCCUCUUUUUGCCAUAGUUGCUUUUGUGUGCAGCUUGAGAUUUUUAAUUCAAUUGUGUGUUUUUACUUUUUUCUAUUGGGUGAAUUCUGUUUUGACUUUUUUUAAGCUAAAUAUAAUUAAUUGUUUCCUAUGGAACCAUAACCUUGAUCUUGGUUAUAGAUUUCAUUUUAAGGUAAAAGUAAAACACUCUUAUUUGAAUGAUUAUGUUGUAUUAUCCAUUGAAAGACUUGGUGUUGUAAUUGCCUUGUCUUCCUCAGGUAUUCUGUUGUAUGGUUGAUUACGAUCUUCAUGAUUGGAAUCUUUGUUUAGUGAAGCUCAUUUUGUUUGAUUUACUCAGUCGUGCAAUUGCUUUCUUUUUUAUGAUCACUUUAAAAAAGAAAUGAGUUUAGUUAGUUCUUUUAAUUUUCUUAAGUUUCAUUUGUAAUGCAUGAAAAUCUCUUAGCAGUAGAAACUGAAGACCAUAAUUGUAGAAGAUUUGUAUAGAUUGGAUUCACAUUCUCAACAUUGGUUAUACAGGCAUUACUUAUCAUUGUCCUUCCACUUUAAUUAUCAAUAGUGACAAUAACUUUAUUUCUCAUUAGAUUUACAAUGAUGGAUAAAUCUUGGAUGCACAAGAGUAGAUUGUCUAAAGAUUAUGAGUUGGGUGUGGAAAACUUCAUCAAAUUUGGAUUUUCUAAUACAACUAGCUCCUAUAUUCGUUGUCCUUGUUUGAAAUGUGGGAAUUGUGAAAAACAUAGUAGAAAGGGUGUUAGAGAUCACUUGUAUGUUAAUGGUAUUGAUGAAAGUUAUAAAUUUUGGUUUUGGCAUGGGGAAGAACUUCCUAACUCAUCCUUCUAUGAUGAAUCUUCAAAGUUUGACACCCAUACAUGUGAAGAUCAGGAUGUUGGAAGUGUAAAAGAAAUGAUUGAAGUUGCUCAUGAGGAGUAUUCAAAAGACCCAACUGGAUUUGAGAAGUUGCUUAUUGAUGCUGAAAAACCAUUGUACGAAGGAUGCAAAAAGUACACAAAGUUGUCUACUCUAGUCAAAUUGUAUAAUUUAAAAGUUAGGUAUGGAUAGAGUGAUACUAGUUUUUCAGAAUUACUUGAAACUUUGAAGGAAAUUCUGCCUAAUACCAAUGAGCUCCCGAAUUCAUUGUAUGAAGCAAAGAAAACAUUAGGUGCAUUAGGAAUGGAAUAUGAAAAGAUUCAUGCAUGCCCGAAUAAUUUUGUCUCUAUAGAAAAGAAUUUGCUAAUGCAAUUGAAUGUCAUGAAUGUUGUCAAUCAAGGUGGAAAAACGUCAAGGAUACAAAUGAAAGGAGAAAGCAAAUUCCCUCUAAAGUGAUAUGGUACUUUCCAAUCAUUCCACGAUUUAAAAGGCUAUUCAGAAGCAUUGAAUGUGCUGAAAACUUGACUUGGCAUUCUACUGAAAGAAUUAAUGAUGGUAAGUUACGACAUCCAGCCAGACUCUCCAGCAUGGAAGUUAGUAGACAUGAAAUGGCAAGACUUUGGUUCUGAACCCAUAAAUCUUCGUUUAGCAUUGUCAGCCGAUGGAGUAAAUCCUCAUGGUGACAUGAGUUCUAAAUACAGUUGUUGGCCGGUAGUGAUGGUUAUUUACAAUCUUCCACCAUGGUUGUGUAUGAAAAGAAAGUACAUGAUGCUAUCAAUGCUAAUUUCAGGACCAAAACAACCAGGGGAUGACAUAGGCAUAUACUUAGCACCACUAAUUGAAGAUUUAAAACUUUUAUGGGAAAGUGGUGUUGAAUGUUAUGAUGCUUAUCGAGAAGAACCAUUCAACUUAAGGUCAGUUUUGUUGUGGACAAUCAAUGAUUUUCCUGCAUAUGGUAACCUUAGUGGAUGUUGUGUGAAAGGGUAUAAAGCAUGCCCAAUUUGUGGAGAUAAUACAAAUUCUAUAAGGUUAAAGUAUGGGAAGAAAAUGGCAUACCUUGGACAUCGUAGAUUUUUGGCACGAAAUCAUCUGUAUCGACGACAAAAGAAGUCAUUCAAUGGUAAAAAAGAACUUGAUACAAUUCCAGAGCCACUUUAUGGGGAGGAUGUGUAUUUAAAAUUGAAAGAUCUUGAAUUUUCUAGAGGGAAGAAGAACCAUAAGAAACGGUUGAUGAACAGAAGUGACAAAAUUUGUUGGAAUAGAUUAUCUUCUUUUUUUGAGUUGCCAUACUGGAAGGAUCUUCAUGUUAGACAUUGUUUAGAUGUGAUGCACAUUGAAAAAAAUGUUUGCAUGAAUAUCUUAGGUACAUUUCUUGAUAUUCCUGGAAAAAGUAAGGAUGGAUUGAAUGCUAGACGCGAUUUAGUUGAUCUAAAACUUCGACCAGAGCUUGCCCCUAUCAGAAUAUGUUACUCCUACUAAUUACUUUCAUUAUGUAAAAAAGACAUCUAAACGUGAGGAUGAGAUUAUACUUGAGAAUAAAGAACUUCGAAGGCGUGUAAGCGAAUUAGAAGCACAUAACCACUCAAACUUGUCUAGACCAUUAUCUGGACAUGGUAGCUGUUCGAAGCCAAAUAUCUUAGAAGAGAGUGACUCGAUGAAAAUAAUCAAAGGGAAGAGUAAGUUGAUGGAUAAAAUCGAAGGGAAAGAGGUGGAGGAGAUCAAUGUAAAUGACGACAAAGUAGAGUUGGACAUCUUUAAGGUAUGUGAUCGAUCCUCUAAUAAACUCAAAUUCUUAAUAUUCAUAUCAUAUUGAAAGUGAAUGUUUUUCUUGAAUUAGGAGAGAGCCUUAAUAAAAAUGACUAAGGAAAAAGAGGUUGUCUGUGAAUCGACGUCAGUUUUGCCAAUGGGAAUGAAGUUGAUUCUCAUAUACGUUGAGAAGAUAAUGGAGAAAGAUUCUAGUAUCACUAUUCCACUACUGUUGGCAUUUUUGGUAUUAGUCGAAAGACUUCUGUUCUCCGAGAGGACAUCAUUGAUCUUUGUAACAUGAAUGAGGUCAAAACAUUUACAUUGGUGGCCUAUAUGACGUAAGUAUCAAUUUCAUUUCUUUAGAUCUAAAUUUAUGUAUCUCGUUUACAAGUUUAUAAUAUUUUGUAGGUACUUGUAUUCAUCUGUUCUUGGUUCGAAGGAAACUAUACAGUAUGUCUUUGUAGAUCCAUCCCUCACCUCUGUCGGACACUCGCAAGAAUCUCGAGUUCGACACUUAUGCAGUAGAUUGAUGGUCUCAAAGAUUAACGAAAUAGUUCUUGCUCCUUUUAAUCCUGGGUAAGUCAAGUUAUUUUAUUACUUGCAUUGCAAAAAACUAGUACUAAUAUUUUGUAUAAUUAGGGGUCAUUGGGCACUGCUGGCCAUAAAUGCAUAUGAUGAUAUAGUAUUUUACCUCGACUCACUAAGGACAACAUCGAAGUCAACUAUAAGAUACGUCACCGACACGUAAGUUAAUCUAGUAUUUCAUUUAGUGUUGAUUCUUAUAUGCAUGUACACAAUAUUUAAACUAUUUGUUCAAUCUUAUCUUGUCAAAACAGAGCAAUAGCGAUGUUUCAGUCACAAAAGAACAUUAAAAAAAGUAGAAAACAAACUUUAUGGCUAACAGUAAAGGUAAGUAUCAACUUUUAAAGUCAUUAAAUUUUUGUAGACUACUAGCAAUUAGGAUUACUUUGUUAUUCAAAUUUGUUGCUUUUAUAUAGUGUCCACUGCAAGGAAGUAUUGAGUGUGGAUACUAUGUGAUGAGGUAUAUGAGAGAAAUUGUGACUAGGGGAAGCAUUGUCAUAUCCGAUGCGGUAUGUUAUAUAUCAAACUAUUGGUUUUGUGAGUUAAUUGGUUUAUUUGUAUAGUCAGUUAAUUCAUUUAAUUUAUUUUGUAUGUUUAUUGAUUGAUACACGAAGAUCAUACUCACAGGCAGAACUACACGAGGUGCGAGUUGAGUUAGCUGACUUUUUGGGUUCUUACAUAUGAUUAUGACCAAUAUUUUGUGAUUCUGAAGUAGGAAAUUUUUUGUUGUGUCGCUUCUUUAUGACCCUAAACUUUAUGUAUAGAAACUUUAGCCGAUAAUUCUUUUGAAUUGUUCAUAUGGAGGAAGGGGGGAGGGGGGUUCAUUCGUAUAUAUUUUUAUUAUUGUUAUAGCUAGCAUGUUUUGUGACUUUUUAAGUUGAUUUGGAUUCAUGGCAAUGUAAUGCCAUAUGAAAUCUAAUGUAAAGCCUAUUUCAUUAUGUAUAUGUAAAGUCUUGGAAUUGAAUAUAUAUGGUGAAUGGUUUUAUUUAUAUAUGUUUGAGAUUUGAAACUAUAUUUGAUGAAUAUCAAAUAUCUAUGAAACUGUUGUGGACAAUUACAGGAUAAUUACAGGACAAUCAGAAUAUAUUUCUUUCCAUUACAGCAUAAUUCAAUUACAAUUUCUUUUUUUAAAAAAAAUUAAAAAAUGCUUGACGGUUUUAAAAUGUCACGAACAAUUGCAAGCUUGACGGUUUUAAACUGUCAUGAACAAUUGCAUUUUUACGGUUGACAAAUGUCAAAACAAUUACAUUCUUGACAGUUUUAAAAUGUCAUGAAUAGUAAAAUUCUUGACGGGUUUAAAAUGUCAUAAACCAGUUCAUCCUUGACGGCUUUAAAAUGUCAUAAACAAUACCAGUCCUGACGGUUCUAAAACGUCAUGAACAUAAGUAUAUUUGACGUUUAUAAAACGUCAACGUUCACUAUUCUUGACGUUUAAUCAACCGUCAAGAACUUUGCCUUUCUUGACGCUGGCUUCAACGACGUUUUUAAAACCGUCAAGAGAGCCGUCUCUUGAAGUUUAAAAACGUCAAGAGAGCCUGUUUUUGUAGUAGUGUUAUUUUGCCAUUUUCGCAAGUGUCCCUUAAUUGUAAUACAUGUAUAUGUGACAUAAUCUAAUCAAACUAACCAUAAAUGGACUUAAUGUAUCAGGUAUUAGGUGUAUCAGACGUGUAUAAGGUGUAUCAAAUGUACAUCAAUAACGAGGGCAUUUGUGACAUUUUACCUCUUGAUGUGUGAGCUGGUCUUUGUUUUUGUCACUUUCUCAAAUAAUAAAGUAUGUGUUCUAUGGACUUAAUUAUUAUAACUUAUUUUGCCAUUUUCGCAAGUGUCCCUUAAUUGUAAUACAUGUAUAUGUGACAUAAUCUAAUCAAACUAACUCAUAAAUGGACUUAAUCGAUCUCAUGGACCACGAAUUCUUCAAUUACUUGCAAAUUUGGUGAGUUCCUUCAAACAGUGGGCGAAGAGCUUAAUUUUGAGAGAGAGGAAAAGUCGUGAAGAGUAUAUGCGAGAGAGGGGGAACGUGCCAGAGAGCAUUUGCGAGAGAGCUAAAGACAGCGACGAUGUGGGAUGAAGUAAGGUUUUUUUCGGUCGUUGUUCACAGUGGGAUGAAAGCUUCGAAUUAUUUGUUUUAAAUCAAAAGGCGUAAUGAUUGAAGGAAAACAUUUAUUUUUUAUUAGGGUAAUUUUUAAUGACACAUAAUUUAUGUCAUUAAUUAACAAUGCGAAAAUUUUGUCAAGAAAACUCAAUUUGUGUCACGAAAAAUUUUGUAUUUUUAUUUUUAACGACACAUUUUAUUCCCUCAUGUCCCUUUUUCUUGAUUUCAAGUGUCAUUAAAACUUAUUGUUGAAUAAGAAAUUUUGAGACCAAUCACAAGUUGCCACAUCAUUUAUUAAGUUAAUGAUGAAAAGUACAAAUAAUUAAAUUUGGGACUAAUUAAAAUUGACAUAUGCUCCAAAUUAAAGAGUUGAAAAUAAAUAAAAUGGUCAUUCUAAUAAUGCCACAUGUUUUCAUAUUAAUAGUUGGAUUAAGUUAAUCAUUUUAGUUCAAUUAAAUAUUAUUUACUUGGACUAAGUUCAAUUAAGCCCAAAAAAUAAGCUUAAUUGAGCCCAAAGACUAAAUAUAACCUAAGUCCAUAUGGUUGAGCCCAUGCGUCUGGUCCAUGGACCAACUAGGUUCAAACCCAUAAAGCCCACCAGUGAACUCUAUAAAUAGAGGAAUUCUCCUCAUUUGUAGGGGUUGGAAAAUAUUGACUCUAGAAGAUCCAGAGAGAAUUCUUCAAAGAGCUAGAAGACUCCCUAACUCCUGAAGUUGACCAUCCUCGAAGAUUGAAGCUUCUUUAAAGAUACAAGCUUUCUUCCAAGGCUUCAACUUCAAGAACAUCACGUGCUUCGCUUCCUCCAAAUCAAGCUGAAGCAUCCAGUUGAGAGAGAAUCAGAGGAUCAAAUUCUAGAGAUUGAACCGCAUCGCAUCAAAUCAACAAAAAUACAACAUCAACUCAAGUUCAAGUCCACGAAUUAAAUUUCUCCAGAAAUCUCGUGCGAACAAAUUGGCACGCCCAGUGGGACCAUCUCUACCUCUCAUCUCUCUCUCAUCAUCUAGAUCUACAAGCAAAUCAAUGGCAUCAAAGAAAGUUGCAUCCAAAUCUUCAGCUGCAAGCGACACCUACACGGGACCUAUCACCUGUAGUCGUUCCAAGGGGAUCAUCCAAGGGCAAGACCAAGGUUCCGCCAUCGCGCAGAGCAUCCUGAAGCAAUUAAUGGAAUCUCCUAAAGCUGGAAUUGUCAUCAAGGAAAAUCCUCUAUAUAAUGAUUAUGAUUCUGCCUCUAGCAGGUCACUGAAAGAAGCACACCCAGAUGUGAUGUCCGUCAUGAUGGCUGAUGUAGCAGUCGAGACUGCCAUGGCGGAGAUGGAGAGAAAAUUAAUCUCCUGAUGAAGGUUGUUGAUGAACGAGACCACGAAAUUACAGCUUUAAAGGAGCAGAUGCAGACUCGUGAAACUCUGAAUCGAGUCAAACUUGUCGUUAAAGUUGAUGACAAAGGGAAGAACGUGGUACAAGAAAAUCAGCCACAACAACAAUCAACUUCUGUGGCUUCUCUCUCGGUUCAACAAUACAAGAUAUGAUCACAAACUCCAUCAGAGCACAAUAUGGAGGCCCAUCUCAGACUUCUUUCAUGUACUCUAAACCAUACACCAAAAGAAUCGACAACUUGAGAAUGCCGCUUGGAUAUCAGCCUCCAAAAUUCCAGCAGUUUGACGGAAAGGCAAUCCAAAACAGCACGUUGCUCACUUCGUCGAAACAUGUGAGAAUGCAGGAUCAAGAGGAGAUCAACUAGUCAGACAAUUUGUUCGAAGCUUGAAAGGAAAUGCUUUUGAAUGGUAUACUGAUCUGGAGCCAGAAAGCAUUGAGAGUUGGGAACAACUAGAAAAGGAGUUUCUCAAUCGCUUCUACAGCACCAGGCGUACUGUAAGCAUGAUGGAGCUUACAAAUACGAAACAAAGAAAGGGAGAACCAGUCAUCGACUACAUCAAUAGAUGGAGAGCUCUAAGUCUUGACUGUAAAGAUCGGCUCACCGAACUGUCGGCUGUAGAAAUGUGCACCCAAGGCAUGCACUGGGGACUCCUCUACAUUUUGCAGGGAAUAAAGCCCCGCACAUUUGAAGAACUGGCAACUCGAGCUCAUGAUAUGGAGUUGAGCAUCGCCAGUAGAGGAACUAAAGAUUUUCUUGUUCCUGAAGUAAAGAAAGAUAAGAAAGAGAUGAAAGGUGCUGAAAAGAUAGUGAAAAGCACCGCGAAAGAAUCUAUGGUCGUAAACACAACCCCGCUGAAAUUCUCCAAAGGAAAGGAAGCGAGGGUUGAAAAGAAGGAUGAUGGAAGCGAAAGGCGACGUCUGACUUUAAAAGAAAGGCAGGAAAAAGUUUACCCAUUUCCUGAUUCAGAUAUCGCUGACAUGCUAGAGCAACUACUAGAGAAGCAGCUGAUCCAGCUGCCAGAAUGUAAACGACCUGAGCAAGCAGGAAAGGUAGAUGAUCCCAAUUACUGCAAGUAUCAUCGGGUCAUCAGUCAUCCAGUAGAGAAAUGCUUCGUGCUGAAGGAGCUAAUUCUAAGGUUGGCUCGUGAGAAAAGGAUUGAGCUAGAUUUGGAGGAAGUAGCUCAAACAAACCACGCUGAAGUGACGAUAAUGUCUGAGGCUUCUUCGUCGAGAUUGAUUUUUGAGCAAAGGAAAAGCUUGGUCCAGUUCGGGACCUUUGAGCCUAUAGUUGUCCAAUUCUUUCAGGAAAUCUCAUACGAGGAUCCUCAAGGAGAGAAAAGACCAAUCGAAGAAGACGAUGAAGGGUGGAUAGUGGUGACCCACCGAAAGAAAAGACAGUCGAUCCCGACCCAAAGAGAGUCUCGCUCUUACCAAAACUAUAGAAGAGGAAAUAAGACUCAAAAGAAUAAGAAAAAGAAGAAGACUCAUAAGCUUAAGCUCGUACAUAAUGAAGACAUGAAUUUCUCUCGACCUCAACGCUUAGUGACCUUGCAGACUUCCUUCCAAAAAGCUUCCUUUGUGAUCAUCAGGAUGAAGACCCAGAAGUCGUUGCGUGUCAUGCUAUCAACACAACGGAGGAAGAAAUAAUCCCUCCAAGAUCACUAGAAGGAGAGGGAGUAUCAAAAGACCUUUCAAGGUUUAAUGUAGAGGAUCUAUUAUCACUUCCUCAAGAGACCAAAACCAUCCUUAUUGAUGCAUUGCUAAAUUCAAGAGCAUCAAGUUCGAGUACUCCGACUAUGACAUAUGAGAGUGGUUCUUAUUGUAUGUCUAUAGACUUCUCAGAUGAGGAUUUGUUGUUGGGAUCUAAACUUCAUAAUAGACCUUUGUAUGUUUCUGGAUACGUUCGAGAACAGAGAGUCGAUCGAAUCCUCAUUGAUAAUGGCUCAGCUGUCAACAUAAUGCCAAAGUCGACUAUGUGGCAAUUAGGCAUCUUGAUGGACGAGCUCUCAAAUAGCAAGCUAGUAAUUCAAGGUUUUAACCAAGGUAGCCAAAGAGCAAUAGGCAUGAUACGGUUAGAACUCAUAAUUGGCGACCUAAAGGCCAGUGCAUUGUUUCAUGUCAUAGACUCAAGGACUACUUACAAGUUGUUACUAGGGCGUCCUUGGAUUCAUGGAAACGGAGUAGUAACUUCAACACUGCAUCAGUGCUUCAAAUUUUAUCAGGACGGUGUAAAGAAGGUUGAAGCCGACUCUAAUCCAUUCUCAGAAGCUGAGUCUCACUUCGCAGAUGCAAAGUUUUAUUCAAAGAAUAAUAAUAUUUUAGAAGUUUUGCCUGCAGAAACCCCUCUUACAAAAGGAGAAGAUAAUUCACAACUGAAAUCACUCGCAACCACAGAACCACAUGAAAGUGCGAGAACCUUUAACUCUGGAAAGGGUGAAGCAUACACUAGCAGCACAAAGGGUAUGAUCUUGAAGGAUGAAAAUGCUGCAAACACACCAGUUUUGCGUUAUGUCCCUCUGUCAAGGCGCAAGAAAGGCGAAUCACCAUUCAUGGAGUCUCCAAAAGGUUUGAAAGUUGGUGACAUCGAAAUCAUAAAAGAAAGCUUCACUACACCACUAACUAAGAUAGCGAAGCAGGAGGUAAAGGUAGAUCUGGUGGAAGCAAACUUGCCCCAAAGGCGAACGAAAGACGGAUUCGACCCCAAGGCUUACAAAUUGAUGGCGAAAGCAGGUUAUGACUUCACAGCUCACACCGAGUUUAAAAGCUUGGAAAUUCAUGACCGACCUGAGCUCUCCUCAACUCAAAAGAAGCUUCUACGGAAGGACAUUCUAUACCCGUGUCGAGAAAAGGACUCGGAUACAAGUCGCCAGAACCGAUCCGUAUAACUAAAAAGGGAAGGAAAAAGUGGUUGACAUCAAUCAUAUAACUAUAGAGGAUGACAAUACUGACGUAAAAGAAGGUGAUAAUCAGAGAAUCUCAGUAUUUGAUCGAAUUAGACCAUCUGUUGCACGUCCCGUAGUAUUUGAAAGGCUAAGCAUGACAGAGGCAGAAAGAGAAAGGCUCCAGUCAGUACCAAACCUUGAGAGACAUUCGGUCUUUCGAAGGCUAACUACGACUCCCAUAAAGGAAGAAAGCACAUGCCAUGCCUUGACAACUACAAGACCAUCAGCCUUUGAAAGGCUAGGUGUGUCUAAAAAAAAAAUGUACAAGCACCCCGUGCUCCGAUUUUUAAUCAUCUCGGGGAUAAAGGAUCACACGACAACAUUGAUUCCAACAUAGCAAAGAAGAAGGAACCAAUGUCUCGUGUGAAAGUUUGGCGUCGAAUUAAGCAUACAGAUGUCGAUAAUUAUCGUAGUAAGAAGUUUCCUUGCGAGACAAAGGAAAAUGGAGAAAUUCAUAGCAACGUUCCUUCUCGCAUGAAAAGAAAAACUUUUGUUACUCUCAAUACAAGUCAAGGUUCGUUAAAGGUAAAAAGACAUGAUGUUAUACUAACGAAUCCUGAAAAAGAAGGGUCGGAACAAGGGGAAGGUGAAACUUCAUGUCAUCACAUCACCAUUAUUGAGGAAUCAGAGACUGGAACUCAUGAAGAAGACGCAGAAAAUGCCCCACAAAGUUUAGAGGAUGGUGGUCAAUCUACUGUAGACGAGCUAAAAGAGGUGAACCUUGGUACAAUAGAGGAACCACGUCCGACUUUCAUUAGUGCGUCCCUCUCUAACGAAGAGGUGGAUAAAUAUAUGAGUUUGCUCACCGAAUACAGGGACAUCUUUGCGUGGUCGUACAAGGAGAUGCCAGGACUUGACCCAAAAGUAGCAGUCCAUCAUCUUGCAAUUAAACCGGAUAUCGACCGAUUAAACAAGCACAACGACGUUUUCGACCGGAGCUUAUCCCUCAAAUCGAGGUGGAAGUCAACAAGUUGAUCGAAGCAGGAUUCAUUCGCGAGGUCAAAUAUCCAACGUGGAUAGCAAACAUUGUCCCUGUUAGAAAAAAAAAUGGACAACUUCGCGUUUGUGUAGACUUUCGCGAUCUGAAUAAUGCAUGCCCUAAAGAUGAUUUUCCCUUGCCCAUCACCGAAAUCAUGGUUGAUGCAACUACUGGACACGAGGCGUUGUCGUUUAUGGAUGGGUCGUCUGGAUAUAAUCAAAUACGGAUGGCCCUCUCAGAUGAAGAAAUGACAGCUUUCAGAACUCCAAAGGGAAUAUACUGUUACAAGGUGAUGCCCUUUGGAUUGAAAAAUGCCGCGCUACUUAUCAACGUGCCAUGCAGAAAGUGUUUGAUGAUAUGUUGCACAGGUAUGUUGAAUGUUAUGUUGAUGAUCUUGUAGUCAAAACAAAGAGACGACAAGACCAUUUGAAGGAUCUAAAAGUCGUGUUUGAUCGCUUGCGAAAAUAUCAGCUAAGGAUGAACCCUCUCAAGUGUGCGUUUGGUGUAACUUCAGGAAAAUUUCUUGGCUUCAUUGUAAGGCAUCGAGGGAUCGAAAAUAGACCAGUCCAAGAUUGAUGCCAUUCAGAAGAUGUCAAGACCUAAAAGUUUGCAUGACCUAAGAAGUCUCCAAGGACGACUGGCUUACAUCCGAAGGUUCAUCUCUAACUUGGCCGGUCGGUGUCAACCUUUUCAAAAGUUGAUGAGAAAAGGAGAAAAUUUUGUGUGGGAUGAAGCUUGUCAGAACGCUUUUGAUAGCAUAAAGAAAUACUUGCUUACUCCCCCAGUGCUGGGAGCUCCAGUACCUGACAAACCACUAAUAUUGUACAUUGCUGCACAAGAAAGGUCCUUAGGAGCAUUACUGGCACAAGAAGAGGUAAAGGGAAAGGAGCGUUCUCUCUACUAUCUAAGCAGAACAUUAAUUGGGGCUGAAGUUAACUAUUCUCCUAUCGAAAAGAUGUGUCUUGCACUUUUCUUUGCCAUUGAUAAGUUGAGGCAUUAUAUGCAGGCCUUCACGGUUCAUCUAGUGGCAAAAGCAGACCCUAUAAAGUAUGUUCUAUCCAGGCCAAUCAUCGCUGGACGCUUAGCCAAAUGGGCGGUUCUACUCCAACAAUAUGACAUUGUCUAUAUUCCCCAAAAGGCGAUAAAAGGACAAGCGCUAGCAGACUUUUUAGCAGACCACCCAAUUCCUUCGGAUUGGAAGUUAUGUGAUGACCUACCAGACGAUGAGGUUUUCUUCACAGAAGUUAUGGAACCUUGGACUAUGUACUUCGAUGGUGCAGCUCGAAGAAGUGGUGCGGGGGCAGGCAUUGUCCUCAUUUCUCCUGAGAAGCAUAUGUUGCCUUAUAGCUUUGCACUUUCCGAAUUGUGUUCAAACAAUGUGGCUGAAUAUCAGGCUUUGAUAAUUGGCCUUCAAAUAGCAUUAGAAAUCGGAGUGUCAUUCAUAGAGGUCUAUGGUGAUUCAAAAUUGAUAAUCAAUCAACUCUCGCUUCAAUAUGACGUGAAACAUGAAGACUUGAAGCCAUAUUUUGCUUAUGCUCGACAAUUGAUGGAAAAGUUUGAUAAUGUGAUGUUAGAACAUGUCCCUAGAGUAGAAAAUAAGAGAGCGGAUGCAUUGGCAAAUUUAGCCACGGCCUUGACCAUGCCAGAUGAUGUAACUCUGAACAUACCACUUUGUCAACGAUGGAUUAUACCCCCAGUUAGGCCUGAAUGUCAGGAAGUGAACAUGGCAACAUCCUAUUUGAUUGAUGAAGAAGAUUGGCGUCAACCCAUCAUAGAGUAUCUUGAACAUGGAAAGCUUCCAAAGGAUUCUCGUCAUAAAAUUGAGAUACGAAGAAGGGCAGCACACUUCAUUUAUUACAAGGGAACUUUAUAUCGCCGUUUUCUUGAAGGGCUCUUCCUUCGAUGUCUCGGAAAGGAAGAUUCGGUAAAAGCUCUAAAGGAAGUACAUGCAGGUGUUUGUGGAGCACAUCAAUCGGGACCAAAGCUUCAAUUCCAGCUAAGAAGAAUGGGCUACUACUGGCCUAAGAUGAUCCAAGAUUCAAUAGACUAUGUGAAGAAGUGUGAGCCUUGUCAAUACCAUGCAAACUUCAUACACCAACCUCCAGAACCUCUUCAUCCAACUGUGGCUUCUUGGCCUUUUGAGGCUUGGGGACUCGAUCUGGUUGGCCCCAUUACACCAAAAUCAUCAGCAGGACAUUCUUAUAUCCUAGCAGCAACAGACUAUUUUUCAAGGUGGGCUGAGGCCAUUUCAUUGAGAGAAGCCAAGAAGGAGAACGUGGCAGACUUUAUUCGAACACACAUCAUCUAUCGAUACGGUAUUCCACAUCGAAUCGUGACGGAUAAUGGAAAGCAAUUCUCCAAUAGUAUGAUGGACAAGUUAUGUGAAAAAUUCAAAUUCAAGCAAUAUAAGUCAUCCAUGUACAACGCAGCUGCGAAUGGACUAGCAGAAGCAUUCAACAAAACAUUGUGUAAUCUUUUAAAGAAAAUUGUCUCCAAGUCAAAGAGGGAUUGGCAAGAAAAGAUCGGCGAGGCAUUAUGGGCUUAUCGGACGACUCAUCGCACCCCUACAGGGGUUACACCAUAUUCGCUUAUUUACGGUGUGGAGGCUGUCCUUCCUCUCGAAAGGGAAAUUCCGUCACUAAGAAUGGCAGUACAAGAGGGAUUGACUACCGAAGAUAAUGUGAAGUUACGUCUUCAAGAAUUAGAAGCACUUGACGAAAAGCGAUUAGAGGCUCAGCAAGCAUUGGAAUGUUAUCAAGCGAGAAUGUCCAAAGCUUUUGAUAAACACGUUAAACCUCGCUCCUUUCAAGUCGGUGAUCUAGUACUUGCCGUAAGGAGACCGAUCAUCACAACAAGGCAUACAGGAAAUAAGUUCACACCUAAAUGGGAUGGACCUUACAUUGUUAAAGAAGUUUAUACAAAUGGCGCAUACAAGAUCGUUGAUCAAGACGGACUACGAAUUGGCCCAAUCAAUGGUAAAUUUCUUAAAAAAUUUAUGCUUAAUUUUGUUAGGUAAAAAAAAAAAAAAAAAAGUUGAACUACGUUAUGACUUGAUCCCUAUAUUAUAAAGGGUACGUAGGCAGCUUAAGGAAAACCUUAAGCCCAGUCCAGCAAAAAAAAAGUUGAACUACGUUAUGACUUGAUCCCUAUAUUAUAAAGGGUACGUAGGCAGCUUAAAGAAAACCUUAAGCCCAGUCCAGCAAAAAAAAAAAGUUGAACUAUGUUAUGACUUGAUCCCUAUAUUAUAAAAGGCAGCUUAAAGGAAACUUUAAGUUCAGUCCAAUAAAAAAAAAAGGAAGAAAGACAAAUUACAUUUAAUAGAAAAUAUGAUGAGGAGUGGAACAAUGAAAGAAUAAUUUUUUUUUUAUUAUUAUUAUAAACUUCUAGCAAAAAAAAAUUAAAAAGGCAUAAGUAGAUAAAUAAGAGAAAGCAGAGAAUCAUGGAGUCCAUUUAAAGUUCUUCAGCUCCUCUAGUGUGCUUUCUAAAGAUUCACGAAGUGUUGAUAGCAUUUUAGCAUCAAUAUCUCCAACGAUCGGGGCACAUUCGAGUUUGUCAAUUUCCUCACAAGUCUUCGAAAUCUCAUGUUGCUUCUGCUUCAGCUCCAGGUCGUUCUUAAAAAUUAUUCCAGAAAGUUUAGCAGACUCAACCCGCACCAUCUUUAGUUUUGCCUCUAGUUUAGCCUCCUUAGCGGACAGUCGUGUAAGACGACGUUUAGCAGUGUUGGUCUCUGCUAAUAUACGAUUCUCAUCAACUCGCAGAGUCUUCACAAAACCUUUUGCCUCCGUUAGCUGAACAUCCUUAGUUGAUUGGAGUGGAAAUGAGGAAUGUAUUUGAUUAUGGUUCUCGACACCUUGGAAGUAACCAUUCACAAGCUCCCUCAAAACAAUAAGGUUGUCGCUGCCGUUAGUCGCAAUCGCAUCAAAGAUCUUAUGCAUUUCUGGUUCAAGACUACUCAGUCGUUCAAAAGGGGUACGAAUGAUCUUCUGUCGUAGGUUUUCCCAUAAGGUUAUGGCAGCCUGUCGUCGGAGGUCAGAAAUUAAGCUGUCAGCACAAAAAUGAGAAAUCUCAGAAACUGUAAUAGGCUCUGUGCCUUCCACUUUUUGAGGAGGUCCCUUGAUCACAGGAGGACAAGCAGACACAAUAUUUGCGCCUAUAGGUUCCUUAGAGUUCCCAUUAUAAGAAAGUACAACGUUACAGUCUUCUAGAUUCAGCAUCAACUCUAGGGUAUCUUCGAUGUGUAGGUCAUGAUCACCUAAAGAAUACUACAAAAUAAUAUUAACAACAAGAAAUAAGGGGAGUAAAGGAGAGAAAAUACAAUCAAUAAAUAAAUAAAAUUGGGAGACGAAAAGAAACCAUGGGGGAAGGGACAUCGAAAAAUUGUGCAGCAUCAGGGACCCGAAUAGGAGACUCUUCAUCAUCGAUCGACUGUUUGUUAGGCUUCUUGGGUCUCUUCCAAUGGCGAUCAUCAUUGCUGCUUUGACUGUCCUCAAUACGUUUAGAAGGAUGCUUGGUAGCUAUCGAUAAGCGGUUGUCCUUACCCAUAUUGUCAAUACCACCUUUAAUAAGAUGUUUAAAUCGUGUAGAAAGAGACAAAUUAUCCACCAAGCGUUUUGUCCCUCCCUCAAUUUUCUCCACAAGUCGUUCAUCAGUUUCAUCGGAGCAUAUCUUCUGAUUUCCACUACCAAAAUUAUGUUCAAUCUUUUUUGUGGUUUUGGAUUUGAUGUGAGGGGGAGUAGGACGAUCUAUCAAAUGUUGUACUCCUUCUUGGAGGUAAUCACCGUGUUUUGCAAGCCACCAGACCUUAUAAUGAGAGGUAACAUGUGUGUCUGGAUUAGGGGCAGACACAGGAAGAUAUACUUGGGAAAGUGUAUUCUCGCGAAUACAAAUCAUCCAACAAUAUCGUACGUUAAAAAAAUUGGCUUCGGGAAUUUCUUCACCUAAGUCAUAUGGCACGUCUUGAUAAAAUCCAAAUGGUCGGCUAAAGCGACAAGGACUAUAAGGCUCAAUAACUGUGGAGGAUCCACAUUGCGAGGAUAGAAAACAAGAGCAAAUGCUUAUGAAAAAUGAAGCAUUCUAACUAAUUAACUCUCCAUCAUCCGUUAAGAGUUCGUCCUUAUUCUUUGUUGGAAGACACGCAUGCCAUGACACAUACUUUCCCUUGUGGAUAUGUGUUCGAGCCUCAAGAUUAGUAUAAUAUUUGGCCCCACCUUCACCAGAAAAUUCAACCAUGCGAGGACCCCUAAGACUCCUAGGGGCUUUAUAAUGAGUGUUGAAGUAAAGAGCAAGCCACCCAUGGACAUAGUGAAGAGGAAAACAGGCAUUUGAAUAACCAAGUGAUGAAGUAGAAUCAUGAACUUGGCGUAGGCCACUAUAAAUAUUAGCUAAAACAGGGACGGCAAGGCUAAAUGUGUAGCCUUCCGCCAUGAGGCUAGCAACCUUAAAAACCUCCGGACGAAGGGAAAGUUGCUUAUCAGGGAACACAAACACACAUAGCCAACAAGAGAGAAAUGCCGCUAGAUAGGUUUUGUCCCUAUGAUCAUCAGUGACGCUUAAGUCAAGGAACACUUUGAGUUCAGCUUUAGACCAGUCAGGACGUCUGAUGGGAAUUCCAUCUGGAUUAUGAGUUGAGCGAGGGCGAGAAGUCUUUUUAGGCUUUCGAGGAGGCGGUUUCGAAUACUUUACCUCAGAUCGUGUAACCCAAAAAGAGAUCCAUUCACUUACAGUGAUUUGAGAGUGAUCCAUGCGUUGAGAAACAAUGCGGUAAUAGGCUGCAAAUAAAUGCUCACAACUUCUUGGACAUACAUCAGGUGAUCCUAUUAAGUCUUGGUGGCAAGGAAUGCUUUCUUCAUAAAAUCUACCUUUAAUCGGGAGUCCUCCUAGUAUCCAUAAGUCCCAUAAGGAGAUGGACAUCUCACCAGCUGAGGUGUGAAGAGUGUUUGUUGAAGGACACCAUGCCUCGCAGAAAGCCCGAUCAAUGUCACUGUUGCGAUCAUAUGUAUAUAGGGAAGCCAUCACAGCAUUAAAUAGGGAGGCUCGCUUGAGUACUGCCGUAUUUCUAGCAACAACGAGCUCUAACCACUCCCAAUAAUGAGGAAGAUAGUAAAAUUCUCCAUGUACCUUGAGCACAUUUCCCCAACGAAUUUUUGGGUCGUUUAUAAUUCGACGACCCAACGUUGAUUCUGGAUCCUCAUUUGGAGGCUUGUUGUGAAUCGAAGACUCCAGAAACCAAGAUUUUAAAGAUGAAUUUGGAUUUACAAACCGUUCCUUGGACCAUUUAGGCAAAAAGAUAAAAUUGUCCUCGGGUAUUUGAGAGUCCAUAAUAUUCUCAUAUGUCCCCUCUCUCACAGGAAGAAUGAUCCCUUCCUCUAAAGAUUGAUCUACGUCCUUCAGGAUAAUUAAACACCUUUUGGUCGAGUCAGAAUACUCAGUGAAGUGCACCAUGAUGAAAAGAAGAGUUCCUGCAAAAUAAUAAUAAUAAUAAGAAGAAGAAGAAAUAGAAAAAAAAAAAAAAACCAAAACAAAAAAAAAAAAAAAAAAAAAAAAAAAAAAAAAAAAAAAAAAAAAAAAGAAAGAAGAAAAAAAAAAGAAAGAAAGAAGAAAAAAGGGGGGGGAAGAAAAAGCAAAUGGAGAUUGAAGCCCGACGAUGACAGAGUCGAUCUCUCCUACUAGGGCGAUAGAUCUGACGGCAAAAGCCCGAUCGUCCCUAGAAGAAGCUCAACAAAGUCAUUUCUGCAAACGAAGAUCGAAGCCCGACGAUGACAGAGUCGAUCUCUCCUACUAGGGCGAUAGAUCUGACGGCAAAAGCCCGAUCGUCCCUAGAAGAAGCUCAACAAAGUCAUUUCUGCAAACGAAGAUUGAAGCCCGACGAUGACAGAGUCGAUCUCUCCUACUAGGGCGAUAGAUCUGACGGCAAAAGCCCGAUCGUCCCUAGAAGAAGCUCAACAAAGUCAUUUCUGCAAACGAAGAUUGAAGCCCGACGAUGACAGAGUCGAUCUCUCUAACUAGGGCGAUAGAUCUGACGGCAAAAGCCCGAUCGUCCCUAGAAGAAGCUCAACAAAGUCAUUUCUGCAAACGAAGAUCGAAGCCCGACGAUGACAGAGUCGAUCUCUCCUACUAGGGCGAUAGAUCUGACGGCAAAAGCCCGAUCGUCCCUAGAAGAAGCUCAACAAAGUCAUUUCUGCAAACG